UUUCAACCAACACAGAGAGCUCCUCUCCAAACCUCUCCCUUCUCUCCACCAGGAGACUAGGGUUAGAGAGAGAGAGAGAGUGAGACAAGAGCAAAAACAAUCUCUCGCCCCACUGUUAUACCAAGUUUGCAUCCAUCUCAUAUCCCUCUAUAUAUCUUUGUAUCACGAUGGCAGGCCUAUCCCUAGAGCACCCUUGGGCAUUCGCCUUCGGCCUCCUAGGUAUAUACUAUUCAGUACAAAAGAUUAUUUCCUCGAAUUACCCCUUGUAUUAUGUUAGUUUCUUGUUUACAACAGCUAUUUGCUAGUGCAGUACUAGUAGACUACUUUGUGUCAUUAAAGAUCGGCCUUUUGCAACAUCGAUCUAUAUAUCUUAUUUUUGCUUGCCACUUGCCACUGAUUGAUUGAUGAAUUGAUGUAGCCUAGUACUAGCUCUAGUGACAUCUAGCUCGGUGCACCAUGAACCCAUAAAGAAACAACAACAAAGCAAAUUGCAUAUGUUUUUUCUCAAAGGAUAAAGCGUAUAAAAGAAAGAUGUAAGUGUGCCCAGCAAUUAUCACAACUCAUCGCUAACUUUCCUACCAUGCUAACUUUGUGCCGUGCAGGCAACAUCAUCUCUUUCACAAGCCUCCUGGCCCCCAUGUAAGCGACAGUCUCUGUUUUCUUCAUAUGAUUGAUCAUAUCAAUAUGUCCUCCGAUAACUUGUCUGCACAUAAUAAAUUUAUCAGACCAACAUUCUACCGGAUCUUCAAGAGCAAAUCCACGGAGGGGUUCCAGUCGGUGCCCUACGUCGUGGCCCUGUUCAGCGCGAUGCUGUGGAUCUUCUACGCGCUGGUGAAGACUGGUGAGGGCCUCCUCAUCACCAUCAACGCUGCCGGCUGCGUCAUCGAGACCGUCUACAUCGUCAUGUACCUCGUCUACGCCCCCACGAAGGCCAAGAUUUUCACAGCCAAGAUCGUCCUCCUACUCAACAUCGCCAGCUUCGGGCUCAUCCUCCUCCUCACCCUCUUUGCCUUCCACGGCGAGACACGCGUCGUCUCGCUCGGCUGGAUCUGCGUCGGCUUCUCCGUUUGUGUCUUCGUCGCCCCUCUCAGCAUCAUCGUGAGUCAUCGACAGAUAAACUUUGUUGUAUAUAUUGUUGCUCAUGGCGCAACCUUUUGUACGUGUUAACUAACUGUAUGUGUCAUGUCCUUUCCCCAGGGACGAGUCAUCAAGACCAAGAGUGUGGAGUACAUGCCCUUCUCCCUCUCCCUCACGCUCACCCUCAGCGCCGUCGUCUGGUUCCUCUACGGCCUACUCAUCAAGGACAAAUAGGUCGCGGUAAUUAAAACAUCAUCCAAUCCUUCUGUUAAUUUUCCGAUAGAUACGCAUUCCAUUCUCAAGCAUUUGCACUGACGAGUGACAAUUAACGUUUUAUUUGCAGCUCCCAAACAUCCUUGGCUUCACCUUCGGGAUGAUCCAGAUGGCCCUUUACAUGUUCUACAUGAACGCGACACCGGCAGUGAGCAAUCUCAAGGAGGGGAAAGAGGGAUUGAAGAAGCCAGCGGAGGAGCACGUUGUCGUAAUCAACGUUGGUAAGAUCGAAAAGAGCUCCGGCGCUGUGGUUCGCCCGGUCACCGAGAUGCACAACGCCAUCCCCAGCAGAUGCGCUGCUGAGGCGGCGGCACCAGGGCAACAAGUGAUGGCGCUGGACUAUGCCCGUUCCGUCGACGUGGUCUAGAUUUACGCAUGCAGGGCUUGCAUGAUGCCUCUGUUCUGUUAAAUCAACUUCUUGAUUGUAUGAGGCACGAUAUUUGUUAACGAGACCGACAUGGCUAUAUCCUAGGGCAAAGGCAACUGGCGCUCCUCUCCAAGACACCCCAACACUGGCCACGCGGGCGCUGGCACACGCCGCCAGCUCCUCCGUGUAUUUAUUGUAUCAAUUUGUUGUGAGUUAAAAGUAUGGUGCCCCCUCCUCAUCAUUAUAUAAGAGGCCUAGAAUACAACGUGUUUGACUCCAGCACAAACUCGUAUCCAUCCACAUCAAUUACAGCUCCAAAUUCAUGUAAUCCUUUGGCUACAAUAUUCCACACAAAUAUAAAAAAUUGGGAACAGGGACAUUUUCUGAAAUUCUUAAAAAAUGGAAGACCGAACAUCUUCUGAAAAUGCACACAGUUUUAAUUUACUUUUUCUUGAAAAUGGGAAUAUUUUUCCGAAAUUUUAAAAAGUAUAAUAAAAACGCAAACAUUUUGUUUUUACAUUUCGAAUAAUAUUUGAACACUCAUUUAAAAAAAUGAACUUGAAGUUAAAGAAAAGGCAUCGAGAUACCAGGGAAAAUUCAGUUAAUAAACCUUCCAUAAGGUUCCGAAAAUUGGAUAAAAUAGAAAAUAAAAUUAGUUCAUGAACCUUCCAAAAGGUUCCCAAAACAAGUUAAACCAGGCAGAAACCUCCUAGAAGGUUCCCAAAAUUGGAACGAAUGAGAACAAUUUAAAUGGGCCAGACAUAUAAACCCUGUUGUUUUGUCGACCGUUCAACGUAACAAACGUCUAGACGUCUAGUAGGACUCUCGAAACUCCCCCUUUGCUCCUUAGGCCCCCGAAAGAAAAGUUGGCACUCACGUCCAUCAUAGUGUUCCACAUCCCAAGUGGAGUAGCUCGCUCGUGAUCACUACUCCCAAGGAGCUCUUUUUUCACUAAAAAAACAGUAGCUUAGUGUUCUUUUUUUCAUUUGCUCGUUUUUUCUCGGUUUUCUCUUCUGCUAUUGUUUUAUUCACCAAAAAACACUAGUUGCUGGUUUUAAAUUCAAGAAAAUAUUCAUAAUUUCAAAAUAAGUUUAAGAGUUUACGAAAAGUUCAUGAUUUUGAAAAACAAUCACGGAUUUUAAAAGAAAUCAUGAAAUUAAAAAAUCUUGAAUUUUUAAAGAUGUUCCUGAAUUUGGAAAACAUUACUGGAUUAAAUCAUAAAUUUAAAAAAAGCCCAUGAAUUUGAAAAAUCUGCAGAUAUUUGGAAAAUGGGACAACUGGGAGCUGAAUUGGGAGUUGUGUACCAAAUGGCCUCUAGCAAGAUUUGGCUACUAAUAGCUUUUUAAGUAGAGGUAGUUGCUAAAAUAAAAUAGUUAAGUGUUGUCAACUAGCAGACUGAAUUGGGGGGGAUGACGUUCACGCAUUGUGGAGGGAAGGCCAAUGAGGGAGGUGAUAUCUAACCUCAGGUUUGUGAGCUAGUGAACCCACUAAUUUUAUUAGUGCAACUUGAAAGUGUAACGAGCCUUCAAAUUCAGUUUUGAUAAUAAAGAUAUAUGAUUUCUAGACUAGUGGUUUCUAUACCCUAAUCAUUUUUUGAAACAAUACUACCAUUUAUUUUAUAAGUAACAGAGUCAUCUUCCCUACAAAACCAGAGUUGAGUUUAUAGAUGUAUAAUUUCUAACUUUGUGAAAAAUUCGAUGCAAUUCCCUAAAUUACUUGGGUGCCAAAAUACCUUUACCUCCACAAUUCGGACUUGGUGCAGACAAUUAUGACAUUACAUUCAAUUUCGGCCCCUGACAAAAAAAUAAAACUAGGUCAAUAUCUUCUAAAUUCAGUAGACUUUGAUGUAAAAUUUAUAUCUUGGGAAAUUUUAAACCCUUGUGAGAUUCGGACUGCGCUUCGGUGCCUUAAGGCACAUCCUUUGUGCCUAUGACAUGUGGGUCCAACCGGUGGCUGGCCCACAUGUCAAGGACACAAAGGCAGGUGCCUUUAAGGCACUGAAGCUGCGUCCGUGAGAUCCGCAUGUAGGUAUGUACGAUGCGCUUUUUCAGGAGGAGGGCGGGUCGGUCGGAGAGGCAAACAAGAGAGGUCAUGUGAUAGGGACCAGGACCAUACUAUGGGAACAUGGAAGUCCCAUGAGAUGGCGGCGGCGCAGCCGGUGUCAUUAACUGGAAUCAGAGAAUUUGCCAUCAGUCGGUUCUUCACCGUCUCCUAGCUGACGGUGAAGACAUGAUGGUAAAUCCGCAAUUUGCCAUCAGCUUUAUCUUUGUCGUCGCUAGAAGACUGCAAAGAGGUGAGAGUGGGGUCCAGUGGAGGCCAGUUUAUUGCAACGACCUACCACACCUAUUUGCCGUCUGCUAGCAGAUGCAAUAAGCCGGCCUCCACUGGACCUCACUCCCACCUCAUUGCCGUCUGCUAGCGGACGACAAAGUUUCUUUGCCGUCCGCUAGCAGACGACAAACUAGCCACUACCUAACGGCCCGUUACCCACCCUCUCUCUCUCUCUCUCUCUNNNNNNNNNNNNNNNNNNNNNNNNNNNNNNNNNNNNNNNNNNNNNNNNNNNNNNNNNNNNNNNNNNNNNNNNNNNNNNNNNNNNNNNNNNNNNNNNNNNNNNNNNNNNNNNNNNNNNNNNNNNNNNNNNNNNNNNNNNNNNNNNNNNNNNNNNNNNNNNNNNNNNNNNNNNNNNNNNNNNNNNNNNNNNNNNNNNNNNNNNNNNNNNNNNNNNNNNNNNNNNNNNNNNNNNNNNNNNNNNNNNNNNNNNNNNNNNNNNNNNNNNNNNNNNNNNNNNNNNNNNNNNNNNNNNNNNNNNNNNNNNNNNNNNNNNNNNNNNNNNNNNNNNNNNNNNNNNNNNNNNNNNNNNNNNNNNNNNNNNNNNNNNNNNNNNNNNNNNNNNNNNNNNNNNNNNNNNNNNNNNNNNNNNNNNNNNNNNNNNNNNNNNNNNNNNNNNNNNNNNNNNNNNNNNNNNNNNNNNNNNNNNNNNNNNNNNNNNCACCGCUACCGCCCUCGAUCCAACGCCGCCCCCGACCCCACACCGACCCGGCCUACAGCUUCGACCCCACGCCGCCGCCGCCGCCUGAUACGUCCAUUUUGCAUCAUGCUUUUAUAUCGAUAUUUAUUGCAUUAUGGGUUGUUAUUUCACGUUAUGUCACAAUACUUAUGGCUAUUCUCUCUUAUUUUACAAGGUUUACAUGAAGAGGGAGAAUGCCGGCAGCUGGAAUUCUGUGCUGGAAAAGGAGCAAAUAUUGGAGGCCUAUUCUGCGCAACUCCAAAAGUCCUGAAACUCCACGGAAUAUCUUAAAAUAAAUAAAGAAAAAUCAUCGCCAAAGAUGAAGGCCAGGGGCCCCACACCGUGCUCACAAGGGUGGGGGGCGCCCCCCUGGUGGCUCUCCGACGCCCAUCUUCUCCUAUAUGAAGUCUUUCCAUGAGAAAAAAUACAAGGCAACCGAUGAGACUCUGCCGCCACGAGGCAGAACCUUGGUGGAACCAAUCUAGGGCUCCGGCAGAGCUGUUCUGCCGGGGACACUUCCCUCCGGGAGGGGGAAAUCAUCACCAUCGUCAUCACCAACGCUCCUCUCAUCGGGAGAGGGCAAUCUCCAUCAACAUCUUCACCAGCACCAUCUCAUCUCCAAACCCUAGUUCAUCUCUUGUAUCCAAUUCUUGUCUCCAUGUCCGGGAUUGGUGCUAGUAGGUUGCUAGUAGUGUUGAUUACUCCUUGUAGUUGAUGCUAGUUGGUUUAUUUGGUGGAAGAUCAUAUGUUCAGAUCCUUUAUGCACAUUAUUAUCCCUCUGAUUAUGAACAUGAAUAUGCUUUGGGAGUAGUUACGUUCGUUCCUGAGGACAAGGGAGAAGUCUUGUUAUUAGUAUUCAUGUGAAUUUGGUAUUCGUUCGAUAUUUUGAUAAGGUGUAUGUUGUCUAGCCUCUAGUGGUGUUAUGUGAACGUCGACUACAUAACACUUCACCAUUAUUUGGGCCUAGAGGAAGGCAUUGGGAAGUAAUAAGUAGAUGAUGGGUUGCUAGAGUGACAGAAGCUUAAACCCUAGUUUAUGCGUUGCUUCGUAAGUGGCUGAUUUGGAUCCAUAUGUUUCAUGCUAUGGUUAGGUUUACCUUAAUACUUUUGUUGUACUUGCGGAUGCUUGCAAUAGAGGUUAAUCAUAAGUGGUAUGCUUGUUCAAGUAAGAACAGCACCCAAGCACCGGUCCACCCACAUAUCAAAUUAUCAAAGUACCGAACGCGAAUCAUAUGAGUGUGAUGAAAACUAGCUUGACGAUAUUCCCAUGUGUCCUCGGGAGCGCUUUUCCUAUUAUAAGAGUUUGUCCAGGCUUGUCCUUUGCUACAAAAAGGAUUGGGCCACCUUGCUGCCCUUUAUUUACUUUUGUUACUUGUUGCUCGUUACAAUUUAUCUUAUCACAAAACUAUCUGUUACCACUUAUUUCAGUACUUGCAGAGAAUACCUUGCUAAAAACCGCUUAUCAUUUCCUUCUGCUCCUCGUUGGGUUCGACACUCUUACUUAUAGAAAGGACUACGAUAGAUCCCCUAUACUUGUGGGUCAUCAAGACUCUUUUCUGGCGCCGUUGCCGGGGAGUGAAGCGCCUUUGGUAGGUUGAAUUUGGUAAGGAAAAAUUUAUAUAGUGUGCUGAAACUUUCUGUCACUUGUUACUAUGGAAAGUAAUUGUCUGAGGGGCUUGUUCGGGGUAUCUUCACCCCGUCCAGUAGAGCAAAGAGUUGCUCCUCAACCCACUCGACCUACUGAACCUAUUGAAAAUGAAACUCCUUUUGAGAUUCCUUCGGGUUUGAUGGAAAAACUGCUAGCUAACACUUUUACAGGAGAUGGAACAAAGCAUCCUGAUGAACAUCUACGCUAUGUGGUUGAUGUUUGUGGACUAUUUAAGCUUGCAGGUAUACCCGAUGAUGUUGUUAAGAAGAAUACCUUCCCUUUAUCUUUGAAGGGAGACGCAUUGACAUGGUACAGGCUAUGUGAUGAUAUGAGAUCAUGGAACUAUAAAAGAUUGAAAUUGGAAUUCAUCAAAAGUAUUACCCUAUGCAUCUUGUUCAUCGUGAUCGCAAUUAUAUAUAUAAUUUUUGGCCUCGCGAAGGAGAAAUCAUCGCUCAAGCUUGGGGGAGGCUUAAAUCAAUGUUAUAUUCAUGCCCCAAUCAUGAGCUCGCAAGAGAAGUGAUUAUGCAAAGUUUUUAUGCUCGGCUUUCUGAUAACAAUCGCACCAUGCUCGAUACUUCUUGUGCUGGCUCUUUUAUGAUGAAGACUAUUGAAUUUAGAUGGAAUUUAUUGGAUAGAAUUAAACGCAACUCUGAAGAUUGGGACCUCGAUGAAGGUAAGGAGUCAGGUAUGACACCUAAGUUUGAUUGUGUUAAAUCUUUUAUGGACACUGAUAUUUUCCGUAAGUUUAGCACUAAAUAUGGACUUGACUCUGAGAUAAUAGCUUCUUUCUGUGAAUCUUUUGCUACUUAUGUUGCUCUCCCCAAGGAGAAGUGGUUUAAAUAUCAUCCUCCCAUAGAAGUAAAAGUAGCUGCACCUAUUAAAGUUGAAGAAAAGACUGUCACGUAUAAUGAUCCUAUUGUUUCCACUUCUUAUGUUGAGAAACCACCUUUCCCCGUUAGAAUGAAGGAUCAUGCUAAAGCUUCAAUUGUUGUGCAUAAAAGCGAUAUUAGAACUUAUACACAUCCUGAGCAAAUCAAAGUAGAACCCACUAUUGCUAUUGUUAAAGAUCUCUUGUCUGAUAAUAUUGAUGGGCAUGUUAUUCAAUUCUGUGGUGAAACUGCCAGAAUUGCUAAACCUUGUGAUAGAGAUAAACAUAGACCUGUGUUAGGCAUGCCUAUUAUUUCUAUUAAAAUAAGAGAUCAUUGUUAUCAUGGCUUGUGUGAUAUGGGUGCUAGUGCUAGUGUUAUACCCAUUAACUUAUACAAAGAAAUUAUGCAUGAUAUUGCACCUGCUGAGUUAGAAGAUAUUGAUGUUACAAUUAAACUUGCCAAUAGAGAUACUAUAUCUGCAAUUGGAAUUGUUAGAGAUGUUGAAGUCUUGUGUGGAAAAACCAAAUAUCCCGCUGAUUUUCUUGUUCUUGGUUCUCCACAAGAUAGCUUUUGUCCCAUUAUAUUUGGUAGACCCUUCUUGAAUACUGUUAAUGCUACGAUAGACUGUAAAAAGGAUGUUGUUACUGUUGGCUUGGAUGAUAUGGUUCAUGAGUUUAAUUUCUCUAAAUUUAGUAAACAACAUCGUGAGGAAGAAUUGCCUAGUAAGGAUGAGAUUAUUGGUCUUGCUUCUAUUGCCGUGCCUCCUAGUGAUCAUUUAGAACAAUAUUUGCUAGACCAUGAAAAUGAUAUGUUCAUGAAUGAGAGAAGAGAAAUAGAUGAAGUAUUGUUUAAACAGGAACCUAUUCUGCAACACAAUUUACCUGUUGAAAUCCUAGGGGAUCCUCCUCCACCCAAGGGUGAUCCCUUGUUUGAGCUUAAACCGUUGCCUGAUAAUCUUUAAUAUGGUUAUCUUGAUGAAAAGAAAAUAUAUCCUGUCAUUAUUAGUGCUAACCUUUCAGAGUAUGAAGAAGAAAGAUUAUUGAAAACUCUGAAAAAGCACCGUGCUACUAUUGGAUAUACUUUGGAUGUUCUUAAGGGCAUCAGUCCCACUCUAUGUCAACAUAAAAUAAAUUUGGAAGCUGAUGCCAAACCAGUUUGUGAUCCUCAACGAUGUUUGAAUCCUAAAAUGAAAGAAGUGGUAAGAAAGGAAAUACUCAAGCUUCUGGAGGCAGGUAUAAUUUAUCCCGUUGCUGAUAGUCAGUGGGUAAGUCCUGUCCAUUGUGUCCCUAAGAAGGGAGGUAUUACUGUUGUCCCUAAUGAUAAAGAUGAAUUGAUUCCACAAAGAAUCAUCACAGUUUAUAGGAUGGUAAUUGAUUUACGCAAAUUAAAUAAGGCUACUAAGAAAGAUCAUUACCCCUUACCUUUUAUUGAUCAAAUGCUAGAAAGAUUAUGCAAACAUACACACUAUUGCUUUCUAGAUGGUUAUUCUGGUUUCUCUCAAAUACCUGUGUCGGCUAAAGAUCAAUCAAAGACUACUUUUACAUGCCCUUUUGGUACUUUUGCUUAUAGACGUAUGCCUUUUGGUUUAUGUAAUGCACCUGCUACCUUUCAAAGAUGCAUGAUGGCUAUAUUCUCUGACUUUUGCGAAAAGAUUUGUGAGGUUUUCAUGGACGACUUUUCCGUUUAUGGUUCCUCUUUUGAUGAUUGCUUGAGCAAUCUUGCCCGAGUUUUGCAGAGAUGUGAAGAAACUAAUCUUGUCUUGAAUUGGGAAAAGUGCCACUUUAUGGUUAAUGAAGGUAUUUUCUUGGGCACAAAGUUUCUGAAAGAGGUAUUGAAGUUGAUAAAGCCAAGGUUGAUGCUAUUGAAAAGAUGCCAUGUCCCAAGGACAUCAAAGGUAUAAGAAGUUUCCUUGGUCACGCGGAUUUUAUAGGAGGUUCAUUAAGGACUUCUCAAAAAUCUCUCGGCUUCUGACUAAUUUAUUACAAAAAGAUGUACCAUUUGUCUUUGAUGAUGAUUGUGUAGAAGCAUUUGAAAUACUUAAGAAAGCAUUAGUCUCUGCACCUGUUGUUCAGCCACCUGAUUGGAAUCUACCCUUUGAAAUUGUGUGUGAUGCUAGUGAUUAUGCUGUAGGUGUUGUUCUAGGGCAAAGAGUUGAUAAGAAAUUAAAUGUUAUCCAUUAUGCUAGUAAGACUCUAGACAAUGCCCAAAGAAAUUAUGCUACUACCGAAAAGGAACUUUUAGCAGUUGUGUUUGCUUGUGAUAAGUUUAGACCUUAUAUUGUUGAUUCCAAAGUUACUAUUCACACUGAUCAUGCUGCUAUUAAAUAUCUUAUGGAAAAGAAAGAUGCAAAACCUAGACUCAUUAGAUGGGUUCUCCUGCUGCAAGAAUUUGAUUUACAUAUUGUUGAUAGAAAGGGAGCUGAGAACCCCGUUGCAGACAACUUGUCUAGGUUAGAGAAUGUUCUUGAUGACCCACUACCUAUUGAUGAUAGCUUUCCUGAUGAACAAUUAAAUGCCAUAAGCACUUCUCGUAGCACUCCAUGGUAUGCUGAUUAUGCUAAUUAUAUUGUUGCUAAAUUUAUACCACCUAGCUUCACAUACCAACAAAAGAAAAAGUUUUUCUAUGACUUGCGACAUUACUUUUGGGAUGACCCACAUCUUUAUAAAGAAGGAGUAGAUGGUGUUAUUAGACGUUGUGUACCUGAGCAUGAACAGGAACAGAUCCUACACCAGUGUCACUCCAAAGCUUAUGGAGGACACCACGCUGGAGAUAGAACUGCACAUAAGGUAUUGCAAUCCGGUUUUUAUUGGCCUACUCUCUUCAAGGAUGCACGUAAGUUUGUUUUGUCUUGCGAUGAAUGUUAAAGAAUUGGUAAUAUUAGUAGACGUCAAGAAAUGCCUAUGAAUUAUUCACUUGUUAUUGAACCAUUUGAUGUUUGGGGCUUUGAUUAUAUGGGACCUUUUCCUGCCUCUAAUGGAUAUACUCAUAUUUUAGUUGUUGUUGAUUACGUUACUAAGUGGGUAGAAGCUAUUCCAACUAGUAGUGCUGAUCAUAACACUUCUAUUAAAAUGCUUAAGGAAGUUAUUUUUCCGAGGUUUGGAGUCCCUAGAUAUUUAAUGACUGAUGGUGGUUCACAUUUGAUUCAUGGUGCUUUCCGUAAGAUGCUUGCUAAAUAUGACAUUAAUCAUAGAAUUGCAUCUCCAUAUCACCCGCAGUCUAGUGGUCAGGUAGAAUUGAGCAAUAGAGAGCUCAAAUUAAUUUUGCAAAAGACUGUCAAUAGGUCUAGAAAGAAUUGGUCCAAGAAACUUGAUGAUGCAUUAUGGGCCUAUAGAACUGCAUAUAAGAAUCCUAUGGGUAUGUCUCCGUAUAAAAUGGUUUAUGGAAAAGCUUGUCACUUACCGCUCGAACUAGAACCUAAGGCAUAUUGGGCUAUUAAAGAUCUCAACUACGAUUUCAAACUUGCCGGUGAGAAGAGGUUAUUUGAUAUUAGCUCACUUGAUGAAUGGAGAACCCAAGCUUAUGAAAAUGACAAGUUGUUUAAAGAAAAAGUUAAAAUAUGGCAUGACAAAAGGAUACAAAAGCGUGAGUUUAAUGUAGGUGAUUAUGUAUUGCUAUACAACUCUCGUUUAAGAUUUUUUACAGGAAAACUUAUCUCCAAAUGGGAAGGUCCCUACGUUAUCGAGGAGGUCUAUCGUUCCGGUGCCAUAAAAAUAAACAACUUUGCAGGCACAAAUCUGAAGGUGGUAAACGGUCAAAGGAUUAAACACUAUAUUUCAGGUAAUCCCAUAAAUGUUGAAACUAAUAUUAUUGAAACCGUAACCCCGGAGGAAUACAUAAAGGACACUUUCCAGAAUGUUCCAGACUCCGAAAAGGAAUAGGUAUGUGGUACGGUAAGUAAACCGACUCCAAAACAAUUUUUAAGGAAAUAUUUAUCUAUUUUGGAAUAUUUAAAAAAUAGAAAAAUAAGUAGCAGUCCGGGGAGGACACGAGGCCUCCACGAGGGUGGAGGGUGCGCCCUACCCCCCUGGGUGCGCCCCCCUACCUCGUGAGCACCUCGUGUGCCCUCGGGACUCCGUUUCCUUGCACGAUACAUAUUCUGGUAGUUAAAAAUUCAUUAUAUAUACUCCCGAAGGUUUUGACUCUCGUAUCACGCAAAUAUCCUCUGUUUUCGUUUCGAGCUGUUCCUGCUGCAGAUUUGAACAAGAUGUUGUCCCAAGAUUCGGAGGGAGAGAGCUACAUAGCUGAUUAUAUUGCAAAUCCAAGAGUAUAUGGGGACGUGGAACACUAUGGCUGGACCACGGAAGAAGAAGAAGACUAUGAUCCAAAGAGGAAGGAGGAGACAAGCUCUGAUGAAGAGGACUACCCACUGCCUCAACCUGGUGAUAUGCAUGUGGAGUUCAAGAAGUCAAGCCUCCCUAAGGUCCAAUCUAUCCCACCAUGUUUUUUGCAGGACAGCAAGGCAACACUAUGCAAGAAGAUAAUGAAACUUGAGCUCGAGAAUGAGGAUCUGAGGGAGGAAAAUUUUAGCCUCAGGCGUAAGCUAGAGAAGAAAAGUGCAACGAAUCCUACUUCACCACCUCCGAAGAUAUAAUAACGUGGGUAUGGGCACUCCCCUUGGCAACUGCCAAGCUUGGGGGAGGUGCCCUGGUAUAGUAUCACCAUCACAACUCCUAUCUUUACUGUUUUUCUUAGUUCGAUCUAUUUAGUAGUAUUUUGAUUUAGUAGAAUAAAGUCAUGGCAAGAUCUAGUUUUGAGUUUUGCUUUAUGAUCCUUCUUUGUAAUCGAGUCUGUGAGCUAUAUAAUAAAGAUUAGUGUUGAGUCAAGGGCUUGAGUAUUUUGCCAUGAUCUUGGGUGAUUAGAAGAAAAAGAAUAAAAAGAAUCAAAGAGUUCAUAUUGAUCUUAGUGAAAGUAAUGACUUCACAUAGAAAGAGUAUGAUGAUUAAAGGUUGUUGGGAGUUGGCAAAUAUAGCUUUGGUCAUCGUUGCAAUUAAUAGGAAGUAAUAAGGAAAGAGAGGUUUCACAUAUAUAUAUAUAUAUUAUCAUUGACAUCUUUUAUGAUUGGGAGCACUCAUUAAAAUAUGACAUGCUAAAAGAGUUGAGGUUGGACAAGGAAGACAACGUAAUGAGUUAUGUUUUCUUACAUCUGAGAUAAAGUAUGUUGUCAUGGAUCCUCUAACGUGUUGAGCUUGCCUUUCCCCCUCAUCCUAGCCAAAUUCUCGGCACCAAGUAGAAAUACUACUUGUGCUUCCCAAUACCCUUAAACCAGUUUUGCCAUGAGAGUCCACCAUAUCUACCUAUGGAUUGAGUAAGAUCCUUCAAGUAAGUUGUCAUCAGUGCAAGCAAUAAAAAAUGCUCUCUAAAUAUGCAUGACUUAUUAGUGCAGAGAAAAUAAACUUUGUACGAACUUGUUGUGGACGCAAUAAAAGCGACGGACUGCAUAAUAAAGGUUCACAUACAAGGGGCAAUAUAAAGUGAUGUUCUUUUGCAUUAAGAUUUUGUGCAUCAACCCUAAAUGCGCAUGACAACCUCUGCUUCCCUCUGCGAAGGACCUAUCUUUUAUUAUUAUCCUCUAUCUUAUGCAAGAGUCACGGUGAUCUUCACCUUUCCCUUUUAUUUUAUCCUUUGGCAAGCUCAGCAUGUUGGAAAGAACAUGAUAUAUAUAUCUAAUUGGAUGUGGGGGAGAAUGAAAUAUUAUUGUUGACAUUACCCUUUAGGUAAAAGGUUGUGAGGCAAAACUAUAAGCCCCUAUCUUUCUCUGUGUCCGAUUAAAACUCCGUAACCACAAGUAUCGCGUGAGUGUUAGCAAUUAUGAAGGACUAAGUGAUAGUUGAGUAUGUGGAGUUGCUUUUAAGCUCUGACAUAGACUCUUUCCGAUGUUAUGAUAAAUUGCAAUUGUUUCAAUGACUGAGGUUAUAAUUUGUUGGCGCUCAAUAAGGCUUCUGAUUCAUACUCUGGCUUCGGGAAAUGAUCAUCGUUUGAACAUGAGUAAUCAUAUGAUAAAAUCUAUUUAUGUUGCUGUUAUGGAAAUAAUCAUGCUGCCUUCAUGUCCGUAUUUUUAUUUUUAUCGACGCCUCUACCUCUAAACAUGAGGAAAUAUUUAUUGUUAUCGGCUUUUCGCUUGAGGACGAGCGAGGUGUAAGCUUGGGGGAGUUGAUACGUCCAUUUUGCAUCAUGCUUUUAUAUCAAUAUUUAUUGCAUUAUGGGCUGUAAUUUCACGUUAUGUCACAAUACUUAUGGCUAUUCUCUCUUAUUUUACAAGGUUUACAUGAAGAGGGAGAAUGCCGGCAGCUGGAAUUCUGGGCUGGAAAAGGAGAAAAUAUUGGAGGCCUAUUCUGCACAACUCCAAAAGUCCUGAAACUCCACGGAAUAUCUUAAAAUAAAUAAAGAAAAAUCGUCGCCAAAGAUGAAGGCCAGGGGGCCCACACCCUGCUCACGAGGGUGGGGGCGCGCCCCCCUGGGCGCGCCCCCUACCUCGUGGGCCCCCUGGUGGCUCUCCGACGCCCAUCUUCUCCUAUAUGAAGUCUUUCCAUGAGAAAAAAAUACAAGGUAACCUUUCGGGACGAGACUCCGCCGCCACGAGGCGGAGCCUUGGCGGAACCAAUCUAGGGCUCCGGCAGAGCUGUUCUGCCGGGGACACUUCCCUCCAGGAGGGUGAAAUCAUCACCAUCGUCAUCACCAAUGCUCCUCUCAUCGGGAGAGGGCAAUCUCCAUCAACAUAUUCACCAGCACCAUCUCAUCUCCAAACCCUAGUUCAUCUCUUGUAUCCAAUUCUUGUCUCCAUGUCCGGGAUUGGUGCUAGUAGGUUGCUAGUAGUGUUGAUUACUCCUUGUAGUUGAUGCUAGUUGGUUUAUUUGGUGGAAGAUCAUAUGUUCAGAUCCUUUAUGCACAUUAUUACCCCUCUGAUUAUGAACAUGAAUAUGCUUUGGGAGUAGUUACGUUCGUUCCUGAGGACAAGGGAGAAGUCUUGUUAUUAGUAUUCAUGUGAAUUUGGUAUUCGUUCGAUAUUUUGAUAAGAUGUAUGUUGUCUAGCCUCUAGUGGUGUUAUGUGAACGUCGACUACAUAACACUUCACCAUUAUUUGGGCCUAGAGGAAGGCAUUGGGAAGUAAUAAGUAGAUGAUGGGUUGCUAGAGUGACAGAAGCUUAAACUCUAGUUUAUGCGUUGCUUCGUAAGGGGCUGAUUUGGAUCCAUAUGUUUCAUGCUAUGGUUAGGUUUACCUUAAUACUUUUGUUAUAGUUGUGGAUGCUUGCAAUAGAGGUUAAUCAUAAGUGGGAUGCUUGUUCAAGUAAGAACAACACCCAAGCACCGGUCCAUCCACAUAUCAAAUUAUCAAAGUACCUAACGUGAAUCAUAUGAGCGUGAUGAAAACUAGCUUGACGAUAUUCCCAUGUGUCCUCGGGAGCGCUUUUCCUAUUAUAAGAGUUUGUCCAGGCUUGUCCUUUGCUACAAAAAGGAUUGGGCCACCUUGCUGCACUUUAUUUACUUUUGUUACUUGUUGCUCGUUACAAUUUAUCGUAUCACAAAACUAUUUGUUACCACUUAUUUUAGUACUUGCAGAGAAUACCUUGCUGAAAACCGCUUAUCAUUUCCUUCUGGUCCUUGUUGGGUUCGACACUCUUACUUAUCGAAAGGACUACGAUAUAUCCCCUAUACUUGUGGGUCAUCACCGCCCCCGACUGCACCCCGCCGCCGCCCCCGACCCUGACCGCACGCUGCAGCCGCCCUGGACCCCAUGCCGCCCCUGCUCCCCACCACACCCCGCCGCCGUCCCCGACCCCACGCCGCCCCCGACCGCACAGCGCCGGCGCCCGCGACCCCCCACCACCNNNNNNNNNNNNNNNNNNNNNNNNNNNNNNNNNNNNNNNNNNNNNNNNNNNNNNNNNNNNNNNNNNNNNNNNNNNNNNNNNNNNNNNNNNNNNNNNNNNNNNNNNNNNNNNNNNNNNNNNNNNNNNNNNNNNNNNNNNNNNNNNNNNNNNNNNNNNNNNNNNNNNNNNNNNNNNNNNNNNNNNNNNNNNNNNNNNNNNNNNNNNNNNNNNNNNNNNNNNNNNNNNNNNNNNNNNNNNNNNNNNNNNNNNNNNNNNNNNNNNNNNNNNNNNNNNNNNNNNNNNNNNNNNNNNGGCACGCCGCCCCGGCCCGUCGGUGUCGGUCUCCUCCACCUCGACCUCCACCUCCCCCACUCCGGUGAGCCUCCUCCCCCUCUCUUUUUUUUCAAUUUUUUCUCUGUUAGUGUAGUUAGUUUAGUUAGAGUAGUUAGUUACUAUAGUUAGUGUAGUUAGUGUAGUUUAGUUAGUGUAGUUUGGUUAGUUAGUGUAGUGUAGUGUAGUGUAGUUAGUGUAGUUUUGGUCAGUUAGUGUAGUGUAGUUUAGUUAAUUUAGUUUAGUUGUAGUUUAGUUAUUUAGUUUAGUUAAUCUAGUUUAGUUGUAGUUAGUUACUGUAAUGCACUGCCUGGAUGUAAAGGAAAAAAUAAACUGUAAAUGUAGAGAUCCCAAGAUCCCUCCCCUCGUCGGUCACUAACCUAUCCCUCCCCGGAUCGCCCCCUCCUCGCAGAUCCUUGCUCGUGCCCCUUGCUUCAUCCAUUGGCUUCCCGUUCCGUCGAGGUGGUCUAGAUUUACGCAUGCAGGGCAUGCAUGAUGCCUCUGUUCUGUUAAAUCAACUUCUUGAUUAUAUGAGGCACGAUAUUUGUUAACGAGACUGACAUGGCUAUAUCCUAGGGCAAGGGCUACUGGCGCUCCUCUCCAAGACAUCCCAACACCGGCCGCCCGGGUGCUGGCACACGCCGCCAGCUCCUCUGUGUAUUUAUUGUAUCAAUUCGUUGUGAGUUAAAAGUAUGGUGCCCCCUCCUCAUCAUUAUAUAAAGAGGGCUAGAAUACAACGUGUUUGACUCCAGCACAAACUCGUAUCUAUCCACAUCAAUUACAGCUCCAAGUUCAUGUAAUCCCUUGGCUACAAUAUUUGACACAAUAUAACAAAUUGGGAACAGGGACAUUUUCUGAAAUUCUGAAAAAAAUGGAAGACCGAACAUCUACUGAAAAUGCACACAUUUUUUAAUUUACUUUUUAUUGAAAAUGGGAAUAUUUUUCUGAAAUUUUAAAAAGUAUAAUAAAAACGCAAAUAUUUUGUUUUUACAUUUCAACACUCAUUUAAAGAAAUAAACUUGAAAUUAAAAAAAGGCAUCGAGAUAACAGGGAAAAUUCAGUUAACAAACUUUCCAUAAGGUUCCCAAAAUUGGAUAAAAUAGGAAAGAAAAUUAGUUUAUGAACCUUCCGAAAGGUUCCCAAAACAUGUUAAACCAGACAGAAACCUCCUAGAAGGUUCCCAAAAUCGGAACGAAUGAGAACAAUUUAAAUGGGCCAGACAUAGAAACCCUGUUGUUUUGUCGACUGUUUGACGUAACAAACGUCUAGACGUCUAUUAGGACUCUCGAUACUCCCGGUCUAGACGUCUAGUAGGACUCUCGAAACCCCCCCUUUGCUCCUUAAGCCCCCGAAAGAAAAGUUGGCACUCACAUCCAUCACAGUGUUCCACAUCAGUACUCCCAAGGAGCUCUUUUUUCACUAAAAAACAGUAGCUUAGUGUUCUUUUUUUUCAUUUGCUCGCUUUUUCUCGGUUUUGUCUUGUGCUAUUGUUUUGUUCAUCAAAAGACACUAGUUGCUGGUUUUUAAAUUCAGGAAAAUAAUCAUAAUUUCAAAAUAAGUUUCAGAGUUUAGGAAAAGUUCAUGAUUUUGAAAAAAAAUCACGAAUUUUAAAAGAAGUCAUGAAAUAAAAAAAUCAUGAAUUUGAAAAUUGUUCAUGAAUUUUUAAAAUUGUUCCUGAAUUUGGAAAACGUUAAUGGAUUAAAUUAUAAAUUUAAAAAAGCCCAUGAAUUUGAAAAAUCUGCAGAUAUUUGGAAAAUGGGACAACUAGGAGUUGAAUUGGGCGUUGUGUACCAAAUUGCCUCUAGCAAGAUUUGGCUACUAAUAGCUUCUUAAGUAGAGGUAUUUGCUAAAAUAAAAUAGUUAAGGGUUGUCAACUAGCAGACUGAAUUGGGGGAUGAUGUUCUCGCAUUGUCGAGGGAAGGCCAAUGAGGGAGGUGAUAUCUGACCUUAGGUUUGUGAGCUAGUGAACCCACUAAUUUUAUUAGUGCAACUUGAAAGUGUAACGAGCCUUCAAAUUCAGUUUUCAUAAUAAAGAUAUAUGAUUUCCAGACUAGUGGUUUCUAUACCCUAAUCAUUUUCUAAAACAAUACUACCGUUUAUUUUAUAAGUAACAAAGUCAUCUUCCCUACAAAACCAGAAUUGAGUUUAUAGAUGUAUAAUUUCUAACUUUGUGAAAAAUUCGAUGCAAUUCCCUAAAAUUACUUGGGUGCCAAAAUACCUAUAGCUCCACAAUUCGGACUAGAUGCAGAAAUUAUGACAUUACAUUCAAUUUUGGUCCCUGACAAAAAAAUAAAACUGGGUAAAUAUCUUCUAAAUUCACUAGACUUUGAUGUAAAAUUUAUAUCUUGGGAAAUUUUAAACCCUUGUGAGAUCCGGCUUGCGCUUCGGUGCCUUAAGGCACAUGCCUUUGUCCCUAUGACAUGUGGGUCCAACUUAUGGCUGACCCACAUGUCAAGGACCCAAAGGCAGGUACCUUUAAGGCACUGAAGCUGCGUCCAUGAGAUCCGCAUGUAGGUAUGUACGAUGCGCUUUUUCGGGAGGAGGGCGGGUCGGUCGGAGAGAUGAAGAGGUGAUGGUGGGGUCCAGUGAAGGCCAGCUUAUUGCAACAGCCUACCACACCUCUUUGUCGUCUGCUAGCGGAUGCAAUAAGCCGGCCUUCACUGGACCNNNNNNNNNNNNNNNNNNNNNNNNNNNNNNNNNNNNNNNNNNNNNNNNNNNNNNNNNNNNNNNNNNNNNNNNNNNNNNNNNNNNNNNNNNNNNNNNNNNNNNNNNNNNNNNNNNNNNNNNNNNNNNNNNNNNNNNNNNNNNNNNNNNNNNNNNNNNNNNNNNNNNNNNNNNNNNNNNNNNNNNNNNNNNNNNNNNNNNNNNNNNNNNNNNNNNNNNNNNNNNNNNNNNNNNNNNNNNNNNNNNNNNNNNNNNNNNNNNNNNNNNNNNNNNNNNNNNNNNNNNNNNNNNNNNNNNNNNNNNNNNNNNNNNNNNNNNNNNNNNNNNNNNNNNNNNNNNNNNNNNNNNNNNNNNNNNNNNNNNNNNNNNNNNNNNNNNNNNNNNNNNNNNNNNNNNNNNNNNNNNNNNNNNNNNNNNNNNNNNNNNNNNNNNNNNNNNNNNNNNNNNNNNNNNNNNNNNNNNNNNNNNNNNNNNNNNNNNNNNNNNNNNNNNNNNNNNNNNNNNNNNNNNNNNNNNNNNNNNNNNNNNNNNGGCUCACUGCCCCGGCCCCCCGACGCCCCGACGCUCCGGCACGCUGCCUCGGCCGGCCGGCGUCGGUCUCUUCAACCUCGACCUCCACCUCCCCCACUCCGAUGAGCCCCCUCGCCCUCUCUUUCUUUCAAUUUUUUUCUCUGUUAGUGUAGUUAGUUUAGUUAGAGUAGUUAGUUAGUAUAGUUAGUAUAGGUAGUGUAGUUAGUGUAGUUAGUUUAUUUAGUUUAGUUAGUGUAGUGUAGUGUAGUUUAGUUAGUGUAGUUUGGUUAGUUAGUGUAGUGUAGUGUAGUUUAGUUAGUGUAGUUUUGGUCAGUUAGUGUUGUGUAGUUUAGUUUAAUUUAGUUAAUUUAGUUUAGUUGUAGUUUAGUUAGUUUAGUUUAGUUAAUCUAGUUUAGUUGUAGUUAGUUACUGUAAUGCACUGCCUAGAUGUAAAGGAAAAUAAAAUAAAAUGUUAAUGUUGAGAUCCCAAGAUCCCUCCCCUCGUCGGUCACUAACCUAUCCCUCUCCGGAUCGCCCCCUCCUCGUAGAUCCUCGCCGGUGCCCCUUGCUUCCUCCAUUGGCUACCCCUCCUCGGCUCCACCCCUCAUCGCCGACAGCAGCAGGAAGCUAGCUAUAUCCUCCUCCUCCCCCUUCCUUUGAUCUGUUCCGGCCUUCAUUCCAAUGACACUAGCUAGGUAACUACAGUCGCGUAACCAAUUUUUGUCUCAUGUUCGAAAGGGUCGCAUCGAUAAAUAUGCAACUAAAUAUGCAUCAAGUUGCAUAUUUAUCACCAUAACUCAUUCGGAUUGUCCAACGAUUUCCACGGACAGCCCAAGGAUGUGUAGAUUGGGUACGUUCUCCAUGUUCUACCCAAUUCCAAGAAACAAAUUCUCCAGCACCUCCCUGUUGUUCUUUGGAUGCACAUUCUCUCGGCUUUUUGCCGAGCCGUGUAUUUGGAGAACAGUGGGGAGGUGCUGCUGAAAUUUUGUCUCGGAAUGGGGUAGUGCAUGGAGAACGUACUCAAUCUACACAUACUUGGGUAGGAUUAGGACCUACCUUUACCUAUUCGCAUGUAGGUUGCAUGGACGUAAUAAAAUUGACAAACUAGAUUAACUAAUGAAUAUACAUGCUGAAUUAUAUAUAUUUCUUUUGUGUCUAGUAGCUUGGUAAGAUGAGUGAUCGUGCAUGGGUGUACACUGGUCACACUAGUCAGAAAGACAUGACCAUUGAAUGGUUAACAAAAACCAAGGGGGUUGUGAGAGCCGCAUUAGCAAAUGGCCAGAGAAAAACCUGGUGCCCCUAUGUACGAUGCGACAAUUGGCACAAGAGGACAGAGGAUGAAAUGGGCAAACCAUUGCAGAAGAGUGGUUUGACGGCUGGUUAUACGGUGUGGACAUUUCAUGGUGAGUCUGGCCAACGUGCCAGAGCUGACGUGGUUCAUCGUCGCACCGACAAGAAAGGUACCGAGAUGGAAGACAUGGUGCAAGACUUUGAUGAUGCUCGGGAUUCGGACGAUGAGAUGGAGGAAUCUGCAAAGGCCUUCAAUGAAAUGUUGGACUCUUCAAAACGUCCUCUCCACGAGCACAAUGAGCUUUGUCAUCUGAAUGCCAUCUCCCAAGUAAUGGCUCUGAAGGCUCAACUAAACUUGGGCAGUGUCGGGGAUAUACCCCGCGGUAUGACCCGGCCGGAGUUAUGACCCGGCCGGACUUGGCGAUUCACCAGAAGACCCGGUUGGAGCUAGGCGACUCACUGGUGACCUGCCUGGACAUGGCGGUUUACAUAUAACCCACCUGGACAUUAUGACUCACUGGAGACCCGGCGGGCGGGUCAAACGGACGACAAGGCCCAAGGCCCAGUAGGCCGGUUCAUGUGAUGGUGGGCCGACUUAAGAAGAAAGGUGUGAGGAAUAUUUCCCUUACAAGGAAUCAAGACCCGGACUUGUAUCCGGCUUGUAGUAGAAGAUAGCCUAAUCCUAGUCCUACUAGGACUCCACAUGUAACCCGCCCCUCUAACUUAUAUAAGGAGGGGCAGGGCUCCCCAAGAGGGACAAACAACAGGAAACAAUCUCUAGGGCUAGACACAAAGGGGGAGCCGGCUUAUGCGGCGACUCUCUCAUGAGCAUAAUGAGACCUAGCCUCAAACAGCAUGUAGGGCUAUUACCGGAUGAUGUUUCCCGGGGCCCGAAGCUGUCUAAAUCCUUGUCUUGCGUGUUGAUCCGCUCUGCGUCUCUCGUCCCACUCAACCCCUCUCAAGCUACCACAUAGAUGCGUUGGCUUCGCGACUAAGUCCUCACACUAAGGACAUCUGACGUGUUAAUUCCACGAGAGUUGACGCCCACUAUCGGGGCUCGCGCAUGUGGUGUUGAGUUUUUGGAGGGAUCUCUCUUAGGGAUCAAGGGGCUCGAAAUUUUUCAGAUGAAGAAAAGCUGGAUUGAAAGGAUUUGCAUCAGUGACGAGUUCAUCAGUCCAAAUUGAAGAUCUGUCAGAUUUAAGGUUCAAAGGAAUUAGGGUUGCGAGUUGUUCCGCCGCUGUUUUAUUGAAAAGUCGCCAAGACCGACGGAAUUUUGGAUCAGGUGCAUCGACGUCCAGUUGGUUCAAGUGUUUCAGAUUCGUUCGAUCGGCGGUUCAAGGUUGUUUUUACCAAAAGUCAAGCCAGGUCGAUUGCGUACUGCUCCAAGCUGGAUUCGGUUCAGAUGCCAAAAAAGAAAAACAAAAGGAAGAGAAGAGGAAACAUCCCACGACUCGUAAGUAGAUUAGACAAGAGACUUGGUCUCUGCCAUCGAGCCGGUUUUCCCUCACCAAUCCUGGUCGAGCCAUGACCUCCGCGACUUGCCGUGUCCUCACUCUCCCGACCUCCGCCAAGGCCUGUCCGUGAGCCGCCGCCGGGCCCCAUCCAUCCGCCUCGUAGCAGCUGGCACAUCAAGCCGGCCGGCCGGCCACGGCGCCAGGGAGUUGCUGCAUCAGGGAGUCGCUGCAUCGGUUACGGUUUGUUCUGCUGCCGCCGCAAAGAAGUUGCCGCUGGUAGGAUUUCUAUUGUCUAUGCAACGACAAGUCCAAGACAGGGAGAGCUGCACGGGCUGGUUCAUCUGUGGUAUUACUACAUAUAAGACACACGUAAGUCGCCCAGGCUGCAGUAAAACACCAAGUUCUAGUUGUUCAAAUGACCAAAGUCAAACUACGACCUGGAACGAGAUCCGCCUGAGCCGCCGCCGCAACGAUACAGCCGUGCUUGAUCCGGCUUGCCGCCCCGUCGACUUGCUUUGCUGCCGUGGGCCGCGUCGAGUCACCAUCUCCGUUUCCAAACGACCAUGGGCCUCCGCGAGCCACCUCGCCUCUGAGUUAUUCUAAACUUGCCUCUGCCGUGGCCGUGCUCUAGGCUACUGCAGCCUCGUUUCCACCCUCGAGUCACCAGUCACGCAGUGGUUUGCCUUCACAUCCAAGCCGGUUUGCUGCGUCUACUGCGGUUGUCUACGAAUCCUCAAGCAACUUUGUUGUUGCCAUGGCUGUACUCCGUUUCUACAUAUUGUUAAUCCGAACCCAAAUCCAUCACCAGGACGGAGGAUCAAGCCAAAAAUGAGAUUCCUUUCUGGAGAUGCACCACAUAACCUGAAGCGCUGUCAAAAGCGACGAGGGAGCUAUCAAAGGUCAGCACUAGCAUGGGUAUCCAUCCAAAGAAGCAUUAAGGAUUAGUACUAGUACAUACAUUAAGGAUUACCGUCAUCAUUUGGGAAAAAUGUACUAGUACAUACACAAUUUCCAAAAACAGUCUUUAUGUUUCCUUAUAUGGAGCCACGCAAGAAAAAAUAUAUCCAUCGAUUUCAAUAUUCAGUGGUGGAAGAGGUGAGUACAGUCUGAUCGGACGGAUGUUUUCUUCAAACCGCCGCCGGAUCGAGUCAACUCAAGCCUCACCCGCUGCUGCUGUCUCUGCGGUUACAAGACGCCAUGACCCGGUGGCAUUAAACCGGAGCCACAUCUGCCUGUUUCAAAUCGCCGCCGCUUCACUUCUGGCUGGCUGAUGUUCCGGACCGCCCCCGUCGCUGCUGACUCUGCCGUGCCGCGGUGCCCCUGCCCUCAACUCUGUGGCUGGCUUCGUCUGCUCGCCGUGGCCUCAACUUUGAACCGCUUGCCUCGCCUCUGAGCAACCUCGCUGCCAAGUCACCGUGGCCGGGUCUCACUGACCUUGUGGGCCGGCCUGCUGCCUCUGCCGGGUCUCACUGACCGGCAAAAAAUAUCAGGUGAUAUUCAUCCAAGUGUAUUUUAUUAAAUAUAUUAUUUCUGUUAAAAAACAAGUUUAUCUUUGCCUUGGUCUGCAAUAUUGUUUAUGCAGGGCAAUUAUUUAUGACAAAAAGAGAUAUUAUACCACGGAGAUGGAGGCACGCCAACAUCUUUUGAUACAGGUGGUCGUCAUUACUCAACGGACUCCUGCACCGGCUCACAACGCCGUGGCCGUCUCCCGCGACCACGCCGGCUUACAACAAGGAGGACAACUUGCCCGUCCGCACCGGCUUACAACGCCACGGCCGGCUUAUCUGUCUGUGCCACCUUAGAUGUUGCAGUCGUCUUUACCGUUCGUCUCUCGUUGCCUGGUCUACAUCAACACAUUGGUCCGCACCUGUCUGCAUGAGUUGUUUAUUAAGUAUGAGCAAGUCACUACUUGGGAAGCCCGGUUUUCUUCCAACAAAUUGGAGGCAAAUUAUCAUGUAUUAUUAGCCAUCGUCUGCACUGGAUGGUUCAAUGGGCAGGCGCACAAGUCGCCGCACUACGGUUUGGUUAAACUUUAAACAGCCAGUUGGAAGGAACCAUUGGCCGAGUUGCUGACACGGUUCAUACGGGAUCAUUUAUAACCCGCCGCAGUCACCUCAACCUUCUGUGGAUUCACAUCGCGCUAUCAACGCCAAUGAUAUACACCUUCUGCUAUGGUCAAAUAUGGAGAAUCUCAAGCCAAUACUUCGAGUCAUCUUGAGACUCGGGGGCUACAAUGGUAUGGCUCGGCAAGAUUGGCCGGUUUCAUUGAAUUCAAGAACUCCGGGUGAUUGAAGGGAAGAUAACCCGGCCCUGGAGGUUACUGCUUUAUUGGAAAAUAUUUAAAGGCCGUCAGGAAAAUUUCCGGUUCAAAAUGAGGAUUCCGGUUUAAAAUACAGCUCAAGAGACAUCUUUCUCCCGCAAAACUUUGAAGCUCUCAAAACUGGUUCAACAUCCGGAUCAAGGUAAAUUUGUCCCUUACAAAGCUUUGAGGAUCUCAAUAUCCGGUUUAAGAAUUUCCGGUUCAAAAGAAUUAAUCUCUCGCAAAUUCGAGAUAUCGAACAAAUUAAUGGUUACCAAAGGGAACUUGCCGCCAUGAUGCACGGUUCAAAACAUGGGUAUCCUGCCUUACGGCUUAUUUUAUUGUGGUCACUAGGGGGCUUCCUGCUCAUCGGGCAUAGCUAUCAGUACCCUCUUGAUCGGCGCAAUGCCAGAAAUUUAUAUGGUCACUUGGGGGCUUCCUGUUCAAACAUAGGUCGUAUUCGAACCAAAGAGAACAUAGCUGUCGAUACCCUUUUGAUUAGCAAACUGCUGAACCUACUUGGGGGCUUCUUGAUCGUAUCCGAAUCAUAGCUCAACCCCUUUGGGAAUCGACGUGGAUCGUAUAUGAAUCAACAUUGUUAAAACAACUUUUAAGGUCAUUUGGGGGCUUCCUGUUCAAACAUAGGUCGUAUUCGAACCAAAGAGAACAUAGCUGUCGAUACCCACUUUGAUCGGCAACGCCAAUGCCACUGGGGGCUAUAUGAUCGUAUUCGAAUCUUAUCUUAACCCCUUUGGAACGGUUUGCUGAUCGUAUUCGAAUCAGAAGCCUCAAAAUUUUUAUCUAUUUUUAUACAAUCCAAGUAUUUGAGUUGUCACAAAUAUCAUAUGUGCCGGCUCUUACAGAGUUGAGUUAUCAACUUCACUAUCCGGGUCACAUAAGCCGACGGUAUCAUUCAAAGGAUCAUAAGGAUCUUGUGAUCUACUUGUGUGCAGGAUAAGACUACAUUUGGGUGAUUACCCGCCCUGGCUUUUGACGUUAAUUCGCCAGGGCAUAUGUUGUUUAAACUCUUUGCAGGGUUUGCAGAAAUAUGACAUAUAAAUGAUUAAGUUCAAGCUCAUUACCAAAGUUGAUGCUUCAAAAUGAUGACCCGUUCUGGAUUUUUUCCAAAGGCUAUAAGCCGCCGGGUUAUAAAAAUUCCGGCUUACAAUGGAGGCGUAUUAAAUCGCCAUCGGCCAAGAGCCGCUGAGUAUUUAAACUCCGGAUUUACUUGUCAAGCAAUGAGGUAUUCAAAUCUUUAAUAGCCAAAACUGGCUGGAUUUUCAUGAUGAUAUUGAAUGAUUGAGGUUUUCAUACUGGAUUAUAUUAUUCAAAUCUCGAAUAGCCAACAUGGCUGGAUUUCUAUUGUGAUUAUCACUAACCAGUGUUAUGAUUGAGGUUUUCAAAGUCGCUUUAGCGCAACGGCUAUUAUUUUUAUCAAUGGGCAUGAUUUAUUUUACAAUGGAGGAAAUAGUCCCGAGUCGUUGCAGGCUUACAACCCGGCACUUGGGGGCUACAUUGUUCAAAUCGAGAUUACAUCAAAUAUACAAGUCCCAUGUCACUACCAGCAUGCACCAUGGCACUUGGGGGCUAAUGCAAAGCCAUUUAUUUGCUCAACUUAUUGAAGACCCGACUCAUCACAUUUUAAAUGAGCCGGCCCUUGGGGGCUACUAAUUGCUCCUGUCAAAAAUUCAAGGUACACAAGCAUUAAUCCAUUAUAUUGAACGGUCCACUAUUCAGUUGGUGGAGUACAAAGCUCUUAACCUUGUGGACGUGGGUUCAAGCCCCAUGGUGGAGACCAUAUUAUAUGAUGUUAUUGUCAAUUAUAUACAAAGUCCUAGCUCAAUAUUAUGUUACUAAGCCGGCCCUUGGGGGCUACACAUUGCUGUUCAAAUUUACAUGGUUAUAUCUACAAAGUCCCUGUUCAUUAUUGCAUAAUGACCCGGCCCUUGGGGGCUAUACCGGUUGAAGUUUUCAUGAGCAUAAAGCAAUUACAAGUCCCGGGUUGCUGCAAGCAUGACAACCCGGUACUUGGGGGCUACAUGUGUGGAAUAUUCAGUUUAUAUGAUUGAGAUGAAUAAACCGGAUUUCUUCAAGGUUGCAACAUUUAUUGGAGCAAGUCUUAAACCAUCACUUUGUUCUGCUCAAGACUUGGGGGCUACAAGUAAUAUGGAUAUAAGGGAGAAAAAUCUUCAAAUUAUCAGUUUUGAGCAAAUCAGGAGGAUCAAUUACGUAAACCGGUGUCAACAACAAUUAUGACCCGGCAUCGUCUGUUUAUAAUCAGGCAGUUUUUGGUAAUGAUAAACCGGCAGGUUUUACAUCUUCAAGCUGGCUGAAUAUCAGAUGAGUAUUUGAAGAUCAAAAUUAUUUAACCUGGUGCCUUGGAAGCCGACUCAAGUGGAUUAUUCUUCACAAUAUUUUUCUGUGAGAAACCAACAUCAGCAAAUUGAGUAUGAAGCUAGCUUAUUUGACCCAGAUUUUCUAGAUGAAGGAAAUGAAAAUUGGACUUAAGGAUAAUCAGGUCCUGUCUCAGGAGAAUAUUUAACCCGGAGCGCAAGGAAUUAAGGAUGAUUAGGUGCCGACUUACAAGAAUUUUUAACCCGGAGCACAACCUGUCAAAGUUGUUUUGGUGUUUAUUUUGCAGGAUCAGUUUAACAUGGAUAAAUCCAAAAUUAAACUGGGGGCUAAUGUCGGGGAUAUACCCCGCGGUAUGACCCGGCCGGAAUUAUGAUCGGGCCGGACUUUGCGAUUCACCAGAAGACCCGGCUGGAGCUAGGCGACUCACUGGUGACCUGCCUGGACAUGGCGGUUUACAUAUAACCCGCCUGGACAUUAUGACUCACUGGAGACUCGGAGGGCGGGUCAAACGGACGACAAGGCCCAAGGCCCAGUAGGCCGGUUCAUGUGAUGGUGGGCCGACUUAAGAAGAAAGGUGUGAGGAAUAUUUCCCUUACAAGGAAUCAAGACCCGGACUUGUAUCCGGCUUGUAGUAGAAGAUAGCCUAGUCCUAGUCCUACUAGGACUCCACAUGUAACCCACCCCUCUAACUUAUAUAAGGAGGGGCAGGGCUCCCCAAGAGGGACAAGCAACAAGAAACAAUCUCUAGGGCUAGACACAAAGGGGGAGCCGGCUUAUGCGGCGACUCUCUCAUGAGCAUAAUGAGACCUAGCCUCAAAUAGCAUGUAGUGCUAUUACCGGAUGAUGUUUCCCGGGGCCCGAAGCUGUCUAAACCCUUGUCUUGCGUGUUGAUCCGCCCUGCGUCUCUCAUCCCACUCAACCCCUCUCAAGCUACCACAUAGAUGCGUUGGCUUCGCGACUAAGUCCUCACACUAAGGACAUCUGACGUGUUAAUUCCACGAUAGGCAAAGAAUGCUACGAUGCGAUGAUGACAAUAUUUGGAUGCUUUGUAGCCAAAGGCCAUGUAAUGCCUACAAACUUCUACCAGUAGGACAAAAUCCUUUGUGCAAUUAAGAUGCCCUAUGAGAAGAUACAUGCCAGUGAGAAAGGAUGUGCCUUAUUUAGGCUUGAGUAUGCGGACUUGAACUAUUGUCCCAUUUGCAAGUCUUUCGUGUAUGUUGUGGUACAACGGUAUGGGUGAGAAGACGCGGACCAAAAUCCCCGUUAAUGUUCUUCGGUAUAUGCCAAUCGUACCAAGACUUCAACGUCUUCUCAUGGUUGAAGAGACGGCCAGACAUAUGACAUGGCACAAAAUGGGCAAAAAAACUGAACUAGAUGCAGAUGGGAAUCUGAUGAUGGUACACAAAUCGGAUGGUUCUGCAUGGAAGCGCUUCGAUGCAUUACAUGAGCAAAAAGUGGCAGAUCCAAGACAUCCUCGAGUAGCCAUCAGCAUGGAUGGGUUCAAUGUGUUUGGUCUGACGGAAACCCAAUACAGUUGUUGGCCCGUAAUUGUUAUUCCACUCAAUCUCCCCCCGAACAGGUAAUGCAAAGAAACAACAUUUUCCUGAUGUUGAUAAUUCUAGAGCCCAACUAUCUGGGGAAGAAUAUGAAUGUGUACAUGCAGCCGCUUAAGGAUGAAUUGCAAUAAGCUUGGGAUAAUGGGUUCAAGACAUACAACGCCGCUAGCAAACAAAACUUUAUAAUGCGUGUCUGGUACAUGUACUCGAUGCAUGACUUGCUGACGUAUGCACUAUCCAUUGGCUAGUUUGUGCAUGGAAGGUUCUCGUGCCCCACAUGUAAGGCAGCUCUUCAGUUUCGUUGGCUGCAGGCGGGUCGCAUGUUUUCUUGCUUCGACUUGCAUAGACAGUUCCUGGAUCCUCGCAAUAAAUUCAGGAAAGACAAGAAGAACUUCAUCAAAGGUAGAGUUGUCAAAAACUCUGCACCACCUGUGUUGAUAGGCCAAGAGACCCUGGAUCAGUUAAAUGCUCUAGAGCCAAAUCUAGAGCGUCCAUGGUAUUUCAAGGGGUAUAAUUCAGGACACGCCUGGACUCACGAGACAUGCUUGUGGGAUCUGCCUUACUUCAAGGACCUCCUUUGCCCACACAACAUCGACGUGAUGCGCACUGAAAAGAAUAUCGCUGAGGCCCUUUUUGGUACAUUGUUCGGCAUAGAGGGGAAGUUAAAGGAUAAUACUAAGGCUAGGGUCGAUCGGGAUACACUAUGUGAUAGAACGCUACAAAACAUGCAAGAACCGAAUGGAAAGCAGAACUGGACGAAGUCAAUGGCAUGGUUCAAUCUUGGAAGGCCAACUAUGAGGGAAAUUAUCUCAUGGGUGAAAAUGCAGUUGAUGUUCCUCGAUGGGUAUGCAGCGAAUCUAAAGAGGGGAGCAAUUCUUGAAAAAUUGAAAACAUUUGGUCUCAGGAGUCAUGAUUAGCAGAUAUGGAUUGAGUAGGUAAUGCCGGUGAUGUUGUGUGGCUUCAUCGCUGAGGAUGAAUGGCUAGUACUGGCAGAGCUGAGCUGUUUCUUUCUGAAGGAAAUAUGCCCUAGAGUCAAUAAUAAAGAUAUUAUUUAUUUCCUCAUUUCAUGAUAAAUGUUUAUUAUUCAUGCUAGAAUUGUAUUAACCAAAAACUUAGUACAUGUGUGAAUACAUAGACAAAACAUAUUGUCCCUAGUAUGCCUCUACUUGACUAGCUCGUUAAUCAAAGAUGGUUAUGCUUCCUAACCGUAGAUGUGUGUUGUUAUUUGAUAAACGGGAUCACAUCACUAGGAGAAUGAUGUGAUGGACAUGACCCUUCCGUUAGCUUAGCAUUAUGAUCGUUACAGUUUCAUUGCUACUGCUUUAUUCAUGACUUAUACAUAUUCCUCAGACUAUGAGAUUAUGCAACUCCUGAAUACCGGAGGAACACCUUGUGUGCUGUCAAAUGUCACAACAUAAAUGGGUGAUUAUAAAGGUGAUCUACAUGUGUCUCUGAAGGUGUUUGUUGGGUUGGCAUAGAUCGAGAUUAGGAUUUGUCACUCUGUGUUUCGGAGAGGUAUAUCUGGGCCCUCUCGGUAAUGCUCAUCACUAUAAGCCUUGCAAGCAAUGUGAUUAAUGAGUUAGUUGUGGGAUGAAGCAUUAUGGAACGAGUAAAGAGACAUGCCGGUAACGAGAUUGAACUAGGUAUGAUGAUACCGACGAUCGAAUCUCGGGCAAGUAACAUACGGAUGACAAAGGGAACAACGUAUGUUGUUAUGCGGUUUGACCGAUAAAGAUCUUCGUAGAAUAUGUAGGAACUAAUAUGAGCAUCCAGGUUCCGCUAUUGGUUAUUAACAGGAGAUGUGUCUCGGUCAUGUCUACAUAGUUCUCGAAGCCGUAGGGUCCGCACGCUUAACGUUCGAUGACGAUUGGUAUUAUGAGUUUAUGUGAUUUACUGUACCGAAGGUUGUUCAGAGUCCCGGAUGAGAUCACCGACAUGACGAGGAGUCUCGAAAUUGUCAAGAUGUAAAGAUCGAUAUAUUGGAAGGCUAUAUUCGGACAUCAGAAAGGUUCUGACCGUUUCGGGUAUUUUUCGGAGUUCCAGGGAGUUAUGGGAAUUCACCGGGAGAAGUAAUGGGCCUUAUUGGCCUUUAGUAGAGAGAGAGGAGAAGGGCCAAGAGGUGGUGCACGCCUCCCCCCUUCCCAAACCGAAUUGGACAAGGGGUGGGGGUGCAGGCCCCCUUUCCUUCUCCCUCUCCCUCUCUUUCCUUCUCUCCUACUUCGAAUGGGAAAGGGAAUCCUACUAGGACUUGGGAGUCCUAGUAGGACUCCCUAUGCUUGGCGCGCCCCCUAGGCUAGCCGCCUCCUCCCUCCCUCCUUUAUAUAUGGGGGAGGGGAGCACGCCAAGGACACACAAGUUGAUCUUUAGCCGUGUGUGGUGCCCCCUCCACAGUUUUCCACCUCGUUCAUAUCAUCGUAGUGCUUAGGCGAAGCCCUGCACCGGUAACUUCAUCAUCACCGUCAGCACGCCGUCGUGCUGACGGAACUCUCCCUCGGCCUCAGCUGGAUCUAGAGUUCGAGGGACGUCACCGAGGUGAACGUCUGCAGAUCGUGGAGGUGUCGUGCGUUCGGUACUUGAUCGGUUGGAUCGCGAAGUUGUUCGACUACAUCAACCGCGUUACUUAAACGCUUCCACUUUCGGUCUAUGAGGGUACGUGGACACACUCUCCACUCUCAUUGCUAUGCAUCACCUAAAUAUAUCUUGCGAGAUCCUAGGAUUUUUUUUGAAAUUAAUGCGUUCCCCAACACUUCUGUGUUCUCUGUGCGAGAGAACUAUCGCCUGGCGUGCUAGAAGAAAUGGAAGAGUUGGCGCCAGAUUUGAUCUGCAAGUUAGAGAAGAUCUUUCCAUCGGGCUUCUUUAAUCCAAUACAACACUUGAUUUUGCAUCUCCCGACCGAGGCAAGAUUGGCGGNNNNNNNNNNNNNNNNNNNNNNNNNNNNNNNNNNNNNNNNNNNNNNNNNNNNNNNNNNNNNNNNNNNNNNNNNNNNNNNNNNNNNNNNNNNNNNNNNNNNNNNNNNNNNNNNNNNNNNNNNNNNNNNNNNNNNNNNNNNNNNNNNNNNNNNNNNNNNNNNNNNNNNNNNNNNNNNNNNNNNNNNNNNNNNNNNNNNNNNNNNNNNNNNNNNNNNNNNNNNNNNNNNNNNNNNNNNNNNNNNNNNNNNNNNNNNNNNNNNNNNNNNNNNNNNNNUGCUUCGAGCAAAAUGUAAAAAUAAACGUUGAAUUGAAGCAUCGAUGGCCGAGGCAUUCAUUACGGAGGAGGCAACAAACUUCAUGACAACACACUACAAAGCCAGAAAUCUUCAUUUGCACAAUCCGAAGCCUCGGUACAAUGCUGGCGACCCUAAAAAAGGUGGAUCCAACCUUAGCCUAUUCAAAGGGAAUCUCGCACCAUCCGGUGCUUCGAAACCAAUAUCGUUGGAUGUCGAAGAAUGACGGACCAUUUUGUUGUAUAUCUUCAACAACCUAACAGAAGUGCGGCCGUACAUCGAGUAAGUUCUCGGUACGUUGUUUCACAACAUCUAAUUCCUUUGAACUACUCUUAUUCCCAGAUAUUCGAUGUAGUUGAUACGUCGCCAAAUUCUCGGAUGGAGAGGUGAUCCAAAAGGAAUCCAUCGAAGAUUAUGAGCUUCUGGCAAAGCAUGGAGGCGACUUUCCCGGUUUGAUCUCUUGGUUCAAACAAACGGUAAUUUCCAUUAGACCACUCUCAUUUCUUUGUCUAAUUUGCGGCUAAUACAACAAUCCUUUCGUAUGAAACUUGUAGGCUAAUUCAGAGUCUAUGGACGCCAAAUUGAGACAAGUCGUUAAUGGUUUUGACUAUGAGGUCCGUUCAUUUGACAAAUACGACAUCAACGGGUAUCGCUUUCAUACCUUCGGCAAAGAGCUCUCUAUGGCCGACCAAAAGUCUACAAAUUGUUGUGUCUCUGCUAUCGGCGAAGGAGGUACCAAGUAUUAUCGGAGAGUUGAAGCAAUUUAUGAACUUCUAUUCUAUGGUGAAAACCCACCGAACAUUGUAGUCUUCAAAUGUUAUUGGUUCCAGCCAAAGGAGACUAGUAGGACUCAUGAACAUAUAGGGCUAUCCGAAAUCAAACAAAGCACCCAUUUAGAUGUCCCUGAUGUCUAUAUUACGGCUCAAUAGGCGACCCAAGUUUUCUAUCUACCAUGGGCCUGCCAAACUGAUCAAUAUUUGAAUGGUUGGGAUGUCGUUUAUGAAAGUGCCGCCACGUGUUAGGCCACUACCCCCCAAUGAAGAGGAUUAUGAACCUCACAUUAAACCAGACAAAUAUGAAGGAGAAUUCUUCCAAGAAACACGUCUUUCCAAAAAAUGUUUCAAGAAACGCUCUACUUCACCCCAGAACAUUGAAGUAGAUAGCGACAGUGAAUCCGACUUCACCCCUGAGCUGGAACAAGAAGAUCCGAAACAAGAAGAGGUUACUGCUGCGAAUGACCUGUCAAUGCUUGACCUAUUACAUAAAGGUGCCCUUCCACAUGUUGAUGCCGCUGAACCCGAUGAGCACACGAUAGUGAUGAUGAUGAUGCAUUUAUUGCUCCCGAAGCAUAUAUAGACUAUCAAGAUUAUUAUUAGUUCAUGUCAGGUAUUCAAUUUGUAUUAUAUACAUAUAUAUUGUUAUUUAUGUUAGCUAUUCAAUUUUUUUAUGUUGUACUUGAUGAUGAUACACUUAUGUUAUAUACAUAUUGUUAUUUAUGUCGGUAUCAAUUUUAUUUAUAUUGUACUAAUUUCAUUUACUCCUUUUCAUGGCAGGUGUUGAAAGAUGGUGGGCGCUGGUCUGGACCGCUCCAAGGCUCCUUCUUCGUCGGCGCGUGGUGGGAGGGGUAUUUACAUUCUACCCCAGUCUAUCCGAAGAGCUUUUCUCGACAGUAAGUAGACACCCGUCUGCGCUUCUUCGUCAGCGUUGUUGCCCACCGGGAGAGGAUGUCGGGGAAGGAAGAAGAGAGGAGGUCGGGGAGGAUGUGGACGUGGGAGAGGUAGGUAGGCUCCUACUCCUUCCUCGUCGCCACCGCCAGCUGAUUCACCCAAUCACAUGACUAGUACGGUGGACACGUCCGAGGAGGAGGGUAUGCGGACUCCGAUCCACGAGUGUCGGGUCAAAGGGCCUUCGGCCCAUGAGACUCUGGACUAGGGUACGUCCCAGGAGACGUCUGGAUGGGGUACCUAGCCGGAUCCGCCUGAGGGGCCGAGUGGCCAUGCUGAUGGUGGUGGGGAUCCGGCUGAUAGCGAGGGCGAGGUGGUUGAGGGGGCCACCGUCUACCAGCGUGGUUGUACACGACUCUCGCCCAUGUCGGUGACACGCGAGCAGAGGUAGUUGAUUUUGCCUGACGGGGAGAGGUAAGUGCAUUUACUCUUUUUGUACCUUUUGCGUUCACGUUUCUUCAAAUAUAUCUAAUGUGUUGGCCUUGUCAUACUGCAGGGGUUGGGACCAUGCUCUGGAUGUCCGCAGGCCCAACACCAUCCUUGUUGUGUUUUGCUGGUAAAACUUCCUGGAGUUUGUCACGUUACCCGGUGAGGCUCGGCUUCCAUAACUAGAAUUCAGUCGGGAGCACUACUUGGCUGCCCCAGCCCCGACGGAGGAGAUGCUCGACGGUGUCUUAUGCCACACGAGGGCAGACAUGGUGAUUAGAAAGUGUUGGGUAAUUUCUCCUUUACACAAUUAAAAAUGUUCAAAUAGCUUGUUAUUUUACUAAUCAAUGGUGUCUCAUUUGAUUGCAGACCUUCUACAUGUUUGAGGAGGGAUACGAGGAGGCUGCGGCACAGGUUAUCGAUGCCGAGUGCAAGCGCCUACUAUGAAACUUAUGGCACGAGGCUCAAGUGCAGGCUAUUCGAGACUACUAUGCCUCACAUGGUAUUAAGAAGACCAAGACGGCGUGCCACGAAAAGUUUCUAAAGAAGGAGCAGUACAUGACAGUAAUUACCUAUUCUUAAGGCCUUGUACUUAGUUUCCUUGAUUUUAUUCGUAGGUGAUACGUCUCCAACAUAUCUAUAAUUUUUGAUUGUUCCAUGCUAUUAUAUUACCUGUUUUGGAUGUUUAAUGGGCUUUACUAUGCACUUUUAUAUUAUUUUCGGGACUAACCUAUCAAUCGGAGGCCCAGACCAAAUUGUUUUUUUGCCUAUUUCAGUGUUUCGCAGAAAAGGAAUAUCAAACGGUGUUCAAACCUAAUGAAACCUUCGGGAGAGUUAUUUUUGGAACAAAUGCAAUCCAGGAGACUUGGAGUGGACGUCAGGUAAGCAACAAGGUGGCCACGAGGGUCCAGGGCAAGCCCUACCCCCUGGGCGCGCCCCCACCCUCGUGGGCCCCUUGUGGCUCCCCUGACUGACUUCUUUCACCUAUAUAUACUCUUAUACCCCCAAAACAGCCAGGAGCACCAUAGCUCGGGAGUUCCACCGCUGCAAGCCUCUAUAGCCACCAAAAACCUCUUGGGAGCCCGUUCCGGCACCCUGCCGGAGGGGGGAUCCAUCACCGGUGGCUAUCUUCAUCAUCCCGGCGCUCUCCAUGACGAGGAGGGAGUAGUUCACCCUCGGGGCUGAGGGUAUGUACCAGUAGCUAUGUGUUUGCUCUCUCUUUCUCUCUCUCUCUCUCUAUCUAUCUAUCUCUCUCGUGUUCUUGAUUUGGCACGAUCUUGAUGUAUCGCGAGCUUUGCUAUUAUAGUUGGAUCUUAUGAUGUUUCUACCCCUCUACUCUCUUGUAAUGGAUUGAGUUUUCCCUUUGAAGUUAUAUUAUCGGAUUGAGUCUUUAAGGAUUUGAGAACACUUGAUGUAUGUCUUGCAUGUGCUUAUCUGUGGUGACAAUGGGAUAUUCACGUGAUCUACUUGAUGUAUGUUUUGGUGAUCAACUUGCGGGUUUCAUGACCUCAUGAACUUAUGCAUAGGGGUUAGCACAUGUUUUCGUCUUGACUCUUUGGUAGAAACUUUGGGGCACUCUUUGAAGUACUUUGUGCUGGUUGAGUAGAUGAAUCUGAGAUUGUGUGAUGCAUAUCGUAUAAUGAUGCCCACAGAUACUUGAGGUGACAUUGGAGUAUCAAGGUGACAUUAGUGUUUUGGUUGAUUUGUGUCUUAAGGUAUUAUUCUAGUACGAACUCUAUGAUAGAUCGAAUGGAAAGAAUAGCUUCGUGUUAUUUUACUACGGACUCUUGAAUAGAUCGAUCAGAAAGGAUAAGUUUGAGGUGGUUUCGUACCCUCCAAUAAUCUCUUCGUUGGUUUUCCGCUAUUAGUGACUUUCGAGUGACUCUCUGUUGCAUGUUGAGGGAUAGUUAUAUGAUCCAAUUAUCUUAUUAUUGUUGAGGGAACUUGCACUGGUGAAAGUAUGAACCCUAGGCCUUGUUUCGAAGAAUUGCAAUACCAUUUACGCUCACUUUUACCACUUGUUACCUUGCUGUUUUUAUAUGUUCAGAUUACAAAUACUCAUAUCUACCAUGCAUAUUUCACUUGUAUCACCAUCUCUUCGCCGAACUAGUGCACCUAUACAAUUUACCAUUGUAUUGGGUGUGUUGGGGACACAAGAGACUCUUUGUUAUUUUGUUGCAGGGUUGUUUGAGAGAGACCAUCUUCAUCCUACGCCUCCCAUGGAUUGAUAAACCUUAGGUCAUCCACUUGAGGGAAAUUUGCUACUGUCCUACAAACUUCUGCACUUGGAGGCCCAACAACGUCUAAAAGAAGAAGGUUGUGUAGUAGACAUCAAGCUCUUUUCUGGCGCCGUUGCCGGGGAGGUGAGUGCUUGAUGGUAUAUCUUUAGAUCUUGCAAUCGAAUGUUAUUGUUUCUUGUUUUAUCACUAGUUUAGUUUAUAAAAGAAAACUACAAAAAAAUGGAAUUGAGUUUGCCUCAUACGCUUCAUCUUUUUAAUAUCUUUCAUGAGAAUGAUUGUAAGUAAAAUUGUGCUCAAGUGCUAGAAGAAGAAGUCUAUAAAAUGUUUGGCACCAAAUCUUUGAAUGAGGAUCAUGAUUGCAAUGUUAUUAGUAUGAACUCUUUGAAUAUCCAUGGUACUAAUGAUGAGUGCACUAGUCAUGAUGAAAAUGUCCCUUAUAAGCAUGUCAAUUUUUGUGGAGUGCAUAGAGUUUGCAAGUACACACCAAAUAGGGAAGAUAGAUUUACAAGAGGCAUAACUAUUUAGAAACCAAAUGGUUGCAAGAAAUGCUAGAUGCUUGUGCUGAAAAUUUAAAAUUUCUUUGCCAUCUUUAUGAACUUUGCAAUGAACGUGAUCAUUUAAAUACGCAAUGCAAAUUGUUUCAUGAUCAAAUCGUGUCCAAAAGUUGUGAUGACUUGAUUUCCCUUGCACAUCAUAAUAAGUUAGUUUGCUUAUGGGUUAUGUAGAAAUGAAAUGUAUAACUAAGGAUAUGCCCGAAUUUGUCCUUGAUAAAGUUUUUGAUUUUGAUCUAGAAGAAAUUUUUAUGUAUUGUGUGGUGAAUUGCAUUGAAAAUCCUUAUAUUGCCAAUUACAUAAAGAAAAGAAAACAAAUAGAAGAUGAAGAGAAUCCUAAUGAAAGGUAAGAGACUUCCCAAUAUCCUCCUAUUAUUUCUUAUGAUGAAUCAGGUAACGAGGAGGAGCUUUCUAUUCAACCAAUCUCAUUAAUAAGGAGCUCAAAAAAGAGGGUUAAACCCACACAUGAUGUGAAGAAGAAAAAUAAAAGACGGAGAAGGAAAGGUAGAAAGGUAUCCCUCCCAAAUGAUGUUGCUCCUAUUACUCAUUGUGAUGAUGAUAAUUGAUAUACUAUUGGUGCUAUCCAUACUAUUAAUGAUGAGAGUGAUUGUGCUUAUGGUACGAAAAGGCCCAAGCUUGGGGAUGCUAUGUUUGAUGAGAAUGACAUGUUUUAGAAUAUAUUUGCUGCAAUUAAUGUUUGUCCCACGCUUGGGGAUGCUAUGUUUAAGGAAGAUAAUAUUUUUAGCCUCCCAAGUUUUGAUGAGCAAAUUUAUUAUUAUGAUAGCAUGCCUCCUAUUUAUGAUGAUUAUAUUGAUAAAAGUGGGUUUGGAAGAGUGUCAACUUUAGGAAGUAAUGAUCCCACUAUUUUGGAUGAUGUUGAAUCUUAUUGUGAUAAUUAUGAAAGUGGAUUAGGAUAGGUCAUGACUUUAUUUAGUAAUGAUUCCACUGUCUUGGAAUAGGUUUCAAUUGAUUAUGAUUAGAACAAAGUUGCUACUUAUGAUGAUUAUUGUGAUGAUACUUAUGCUAUAAAAAGUAGUGAUGAUUAUAUUUAUAACUUGUCAUGAUUAUUAUUACCCUUUUUCUUUUAACAUUACUCUUUUAAUGUGGACACAAAUUAUAUUAUUCGAGUCUCUUAUGAUACUCCCACUAUUCCGAAUGAGAAGAAUUUUGCUUAUGUGGAGAGUAGUAAAUUUUCUCUGCUUGUGCAUCAUGAAAAUAGUUCUUUAUGUGAUGGUUAUACUUCUGAAUUCAUUCGUGAUGCUACUUAAAAUUAUUAUGAGGGAGGAAUAUAUGCUUGUAGGAAUUGCAAUAAUAUCAAGUUUCCUCUCUAUGUGCUUAAAGUUUUGAAGUUAUGCUUGUUUUGCCUUCCUAUGCUAGUUGAUUAUUGUUCCCAUAAGUUGUUUGCUCACAAAAUCCCUAUGCAUAGGAAGUGGGUUAGACUUAAAUAUGCUAGUCAUAUUCUUCAUGAUGCUCUCUUUAUGUUUCAAUUCUUAUCUUUUAUGUCAGCAUCAUUGAAAUCAUCAUGCCUAGCUAGGGGAGUUAAACGUUAGCGCUUGUUGAGAGGCAACCCAAUUUUAUUUUUGUUCUUUGAUUUUUGUUCCUGUUUAGUAAUAAAUAAUUCAUAUAUCCUAUGGUUAGAUGUGGUUUUAUGUUUUAAUUAGUGUUUGUGCCAAGUAGAACCUUUGGGAAGACUUGGGUGAAGUCUAUGCGAUCUUGCUGUAAAAAACAGAAAAUUUUGCGCUCAUGAGAUUAGCUGCCUUUUUUACUAGAGAGUGACUUUAGGUUGAUUCUUUUUGAAGAUGAGUAAUAGGCAAAUUCCUUAGGUCCAACAAUUUAUUUCAGAAUUUUUGGAGUUACAUAAGUAUUCGAAUAUACCGAUUACUACAGACUGUUCUGUUUUUGACAAAUUCUGUUUUCUAUGUGUUGUUUGCUUAUUUUGAUGAAUCUAUGAGUAGGAUCGGAGGGUAUGAACCAUAGAGAAUUUGGAAUACAGUAUAUAUUACACCAAUAUGAAUUUAGAAUGAGUUCACAACAGUACCUAAGUGGUGAUUUAUUUUCUUAUACUAACGGAGCUUAUGAGUUUUGUGUUGAGUUUUGUGUUGUGAAGUUUUCAAGUUUUGGGUAAAGAUUCGAUGGACUAUGGAAUAAGGAGUGGCAAGAGACUAAGCUUGUGUAUUCCCAAGGCACCCGAAGGUAAUAUUCAAGGACAACCAAGAGCCUAAGCUUGGGGAUUCCCCGGAUGGCAUACCCUCUUUCGUCUUCGUUCAUCGGUAACUUUACUUGGAGCUAUAUUUUUAUUGACCACAUGAUAUGUGUUUUGUUUGGAGCGUCAUUUUAUUUUCUUUUGUUUUGCUUGCUGUUUGAAUAAAAUACCAAGAUCUGAAAUUCUUAAAUCUUAGAGAGUCUUCACAUAGUUGAACAAUUAUUAGAAUACUCUAUGUGCUUCACUCAUAUCUUUUGGAGUAUUUUGUCAUUUGCUCUAGUGCUUCACUUAUACCUUUUUAGAGCACGGUGGUGGUUUUAUUUUGUAGAAAUUAUUGAUCUCUCAUGCUUCACUUAUAUUAUUUUGAGAGUCUUUUAGAACAGCAUGGUAAUUUGCUUUGGUUAUAAAAUUGGUCCUAAUAUGAUGGGCAUCCAAGUUGGGUAUAAUAAAAACUACCAUAUCAAGUGUAUUGAAAACUAUGAUAAAAUUGAUACUUGAUAAUUGUUUUGAGAUAUAAAGGUGGUAAUGUUAGAGUCAUGCUAGUUGGGUAAUUAUGAAAUUGAGAAAUACUUGUGUUAAAGUUGGCAAGUCCCGUAGCAUGCACGUAUGGUGAACGUUGUGUGAGAAAAUUGUAGCAUGGGGUGCUCUUUGAUUGUCUUCCUUAUGAGUGGAGGUCGGGAUCGCGCGAUGGUUAACUCCUACCAACCCUUCAUCUAGGAGCAUGCAUAGUAGUACUUUCCUUUGAGGGAUAAUAAACUUUUGCAAUAUGUAUAUGAGUUCUUUAUGACUAAUGUGAGUCCAUGGAUUAUGCGCACUCUUACCCUUCCACAAUUUGCUAGCCUCUACGGUACCGUGCAUUGCCCUUCCUCACCUUGAGAGUUAGUGCAAACUUCGCCGGUGCAUCCAAACCCCGUGAUAAGAUACACUCUAUCACACAUAAACCUCCUUAUAUCUUCCUCAAAACAGCCACCAUACCUACCUAUUAUGGCAUUUCCAUAGCCAUUCCGAGAUAUAUUGCCAUGCAACUUUACACCGUUCCGUUUAUCAUGACACGCACCAUCAUUGUCAUAUUGCUUUUGCAUGACCAUGUAGUUGACAUCGUAUUCGUGGCAAAGCCACCUUUAUAAUUCUUUCAUACAUGUCGCUCUUGAUUCAUUGCAUAUCCCGGUACACCGCCAGAGGCAUUCACAUAGAAUCAUAUUUUGUUCUAAGUAUCGAGUUGUAAUUCUUGAGUUGUAAAGUAAAUAAAAGUGUGAUGAUCUUCAUUAUUAGAGCAUUGUCCCAAGUGAGGAAAGGAUGAUGGAGACUAUGAUUCCCCCACAAGUCGGGAUGAGACUUCGGACUUUAUGAAAAAUAAAAGAGGCCAACGAAGCCCCAAAAAAAGAGGGCAAAAAAGCCCACCAAAAUAAAAAAAUGAGAGAAAAAGAGAGAAGGGACAAUGUUACUAUCCUUUUUCCACACUUGUGGUUCAAAGUAGCACCAUGAUCUACAUGAUAGAGAGUCUCCUAUGUUGUCACUUUCAUAUACUAGUGGGAAUUUUUCAUUAUAGAACUUGGCUUGUAUAUUCCAAUGAUGGGCUUCCUCAAAAUUCCCUAGGUCUUCGUGAGCAAGCAAGUUGGAUGCACACCCACUUAGUUUCUUUUGUUGAUAUUUCAUACAUUUAUAGCUCUAGUGCAUCCGUUGCAUGGCAAUCCCUACUCCUCAUGUUGGCAUCAAUUGAUGGGCAUCUCCAUAGCCUGUUGAUUAGCCUCGUCAAUGUGAGACUGUUUUUAUCUUCUCCAAACAACCUCCAUCAUCAUAUUCUAUUCCACCCAUAGUGCUAUAUCCAUGGCUUACGCUCAUGUAUUGCGUGAGAGUUGAAAAAAAGCUAAAUCGCGUUAAAAAGUAUGAACCAAUUGCUGCGCUGAAACCGGGGUUGUGCAUGAUGGGAGUAUUUUGUGUGAGGAAAAUGAAGCAUAGCCUAACUAUAUGAUUAUGUAGGGAUAAGCUUUCUUUGGCUAUGUUAUUUUGAUAAGACAUGAUUACUCAUUAGUAUGCUUGAAGUAUUACUAUUUUUAUGUCAAUAUGCACUUUUAUUUUGAAUCAUUUGGAUCUGAACACUCAUGCCACAAUAAAGAAAAUUACAUUGAGAAAUAUGAUAGGUAGCAUUCCACAUAAAAAAUUCUAUUUUAAUCAUUUACCUACUCGAGGACGAGCAAGAAUUAAGCUUGGGGAUGCUUGAUACGUCUCCAACGUAUCUAUAAUUUUUCAUUGUUCCAUGCUAUUAUAUUACCCGUUUUGGAUGUUUAAUGGGCUUUACUAUGCACUUUUAUAUUAUUUUUGGGACUAACCUAUUAACCGGAGGCCCAGCCCAAUUUGCUGUUUUUUUGGCCUAUUUCAGUGUUUCGCAGAAAAGGAAUAUCAAACGGAGUCCAAAUGGAAUGAAACCUUCGAGAGAGUUAUUUUUGGAACAAACGCAAUCCAUGAGACUUGGAGUGGACGUCAGGAAGCAACGAGGUGGCCACGAGGGUCCAAGGCGCGCCCUACCCUCCUGGGCGCGCCCCCACCCUCGUGGGCCCCUCGUGGCUCCCCCGACGGACUUCUUUUGCCUAUAUAUACUCUUAUACCCCGAAAACAUCCAGGAGCACCAUAGAUCGCGAGUUCCGCUGCCGCAAGCCUCUAUAGCAACCAAAAACCUCUCGGGAGCCCGUUCCGGCACCCUGCUGUAGGGGGGAUCCAUCACCGGUGGCCAUCUUUAUCAUCCCGGCGCUCUCCAUGACGAGAGGAGAAUAGUUCACCCUCGGGGCUGAGGGUAUGUACCAGUAGCUAUGUGUUUGAUCUCUCUCUCUCUCUCAUGUUCUUAAUUUGGCACGAUCUUUAAGUAUCACGAGCUUUGCUAUUAUAGUUGGAUCUUAUGAUGUUUCUCCCCCUCUACUCUCUUGUAAUGGAUUGAGUUUUCCCUUUGAAGUUAUAUUAUCGGAUUGAGUCUUUAAGGAUUUGCGAACACUUGAUGUAUGUCUUGCAUGUGCUUAUCUGUGGUGAGAAUGGGAUAUUCACGUGAUCUACUUGAUGUAUGUUUUGGUGAUCAACUUGCGGGUUUCGUGACCUCGUGAACUUAUGCAUAGGGCUUGGCACACGUUUUCGUCUUGACACUUCAGUAGAAACUUUGGGGCACUCUUUGAAGUACUUUGUGUUGGUUGAAUAGAUGAAUAUGAGAUUGUGUGAUGCAUAUCGUAUAAUCAUGCCCACGGAUACUCGAGGUGACAUUGGAGUAUCUAGGUGACAUUAGGGUUUUGGUUGAUUUGUGUCUUAAGGUGUUAUUCUAGUACGAACUCUAUGAUAGAUCGAACGGAAAGAAUAGCUUCAUGUUAUUUUACUACGGACUCUUGAAUAGAUCGAUCAGAAAGGAUAACUUUGAGGUGGUUUUGUACCCUACAAUAAUCUCUUCGUUUGUUCUCCUCUAUUAGUGACUUUGGAGUGACUCUUUGUUGUAUGUUGAGGGAUAGUUAUAUGAUCCAAUUAUGUUAUUAUUGUUGAGAGAACUCGCACUAGUGAAAGUAUGAACCCUAGCCCUUGUUUUGAAGCAUUGCAAUACCGUUUAUGCUCACUUUUACCACUUGUUACCUUGCUUUUUUUAUAUUUUCAUAUUACAAAUACUCAUAUCUACCAUCCAUAUCGUACUUGUAUCGCCAUCUCUUCUCCGAACUAGUGCACCUAUACAAUUUACCAUUGUAUUGGGUGUGUUGGGGACACAAGAGACUCUUUGUUAUUUGGUUGCAGGGUUGUUUGAGAGAGACCAUCUUCAUCCUACGCCUCCCACAGAUUGAUAAACCUUAGGUCAUCCACUUGGGGGAAAAUUGCUACUGUCCUACAAACCUCUGCACUUGGAGGCCCAACAACGUUUACAAGAAGAAGGUUGUGUAGUAGACAUCAGUAGGCAUAGCGCUCAAGUUUAUCUUUACUAACUUAGGUGCCCCCGAGAUGGUGUGCGGAUCAGAUGGAUUGUUUGGAGGUGUUGGUGGAUGAGUGGUGCUCAGACCAAUGGCUACCCCUCCACAGCAAUGCUAAGGACCGGCAUGCCCAAAUGGAAGGUGUGCCACACCAUCAAGGCAGCGCCAACUUAUAUCAGUCCGGGCGGAACAGGGUAUGUGGUUUGCUUCAUGAUUCAUGCAAUUCAUUCUUCAUGCUAGCUUCAGCCCUUUAAUUACUAAUUUAGUCUAUUCCUCUCUUUUAGGAGCGACACAAUAAGGCGGAGGUGCCAGAGGUGUACAACCUCUAUGCCAUGGACCAUACUGCCUCGUAGAAGAAGGUCAAGGCAUUCUCUUCGUCUAACCUCGAUCAUCCAGAGAACUUCACUAACAUCUCCCACAACAAGCUCAUGAGCUACAGAGAUGAGGGGAGGACUUUAACCCGAGCAAGGGUCCCAUUGAUCUAGAUCUGCUGAUGAUAUCUGGUGGCGGAAGGUCCCAUGGCUCAAUAUCCAUUGUAGAUGGACUUAUACAUUGUCCUAGCACUCUCCCAGAGAUCAAGACAUGCCAGACGAGCUCCACUCCUGAGAUAAGGCCUCAUCAACGGCCAGUCUGGCUCGCCUUUGAGGUUAGUUAUAUGGACUCAGCUAUCUUUCCUACAUUACAUUGUGUGUGCGGCCAUCGAUUAUUACAAUGCUAACAUGGAGUGGUGUUGCAGGCUGCUCUUCAGAGAGAGAGAGAGAGAGAGAGAGAACCCAUGCGCUUCUGGCGGAGAGGGACCGGUAGGCGGCGAAGAAGGAGUGGGAGUUGGAGGAGAGGACGGCUAGGAUGUUGGAGGAGGAGAGGGAACGGAAAGACAUGCAGAACCGGGGCAUGUACGAGCUCCUCAUGGUAAGUUUCUUCUGCAUAUUAGCCAAAUCAUGCACGUAAUGUUUGUUUCAUUACUAACUAGUAUGACUGACUCGUCAAAACCAAAUGUGCAGUCUGUGUGCGAGAAGACUGGUCAGACCCCUCCGCCAAUGCCAUUCAUUGCUCCGGGGACCAUGGUGAGUUUCAUUUGAAUUUUCAUUAGUUACUACUCUUAACAUUUGAGUGUCAUCAUGCUAACAAGACACUGCAAAUGAUCUUCGGUGCAGCGUAAUUCCAGACAAGCAUCGCACGAUCCUUCUCCAGGUGGUACUGGCACGAGCCACCCCGGUGCUUCACCUCUGUAAUGACGGUAAGUUUUCUCUAGUGUUUUACUUAACAAAUGCAUAAUGACCUAGACUUAUCUUUAUUUUCUCCAAUAUGCUUACCAUAAUGACCUAAGUUAGCUCUAAUAUGCUUAGUUACCUAGUUAGCUCAAUAAUGAUCUAUACUUAGCUUACUUAUGUCAAAAAUGGCAUAAUUACCUAGGCUAGCUCCAAAAUGAACCAUUUUACCUAAGUUAGCUCCAAGAUGAUCUAUUUUACCUAAGUUAGCUCCAAAAUGACCUAAGUUAGUUCUAAUAUGCUUAAUUACCUAGGUUAGCUCAAUAAUGACCUAUACUUAGCUUACUUAUGUCAAAAAUGGCAUAAUAUGCUUAGUUAACUAAAAAAUGGCAUAAUUACCUACAUUAGCUCCAAAAUGAACCAUUUUACCUAAGUUAGCUCCAAAAUUAUCCAUUUUACCUAAGUUAGCUCCAAAAUGAUCCAUUUUACCUAAGUUAGCUCUAAUAUGCUUAGUUACCUAGGUUAGCUCAAUAAUUCCUAUACUUAGCUUACUUAUGUAAAAAAUGGCAUAAUAUGCUUAGUUAACUCAAAAUGGCAUAAUUACCUACGUUAGCUCCGAAAUGAACCAUUUUACCUAACUUAGGUCCAAAUUAAUCCAUUUUACCUAACUUAGCUCCAAAAUGACCUAAGUUAGCUCUAAGUUACCUCUAAUAUGCUUAGUUACCUAGGUUAGCUCAAUAAUGACCUAUACUUAGCUUACUUAUGUCAAAAAUGGCAUAAUAUGCUUAGUUAACUCAAGAAUGGUAUAAUUACCUAGGUUAGCUCCAAAAUGAUCCAUUUUUACCUAAGUUAGGUCCAAAAUGAUCCAUUUUACCGAGGUUAGCUCCAAAAUGAUCCAUUUUACCUAUGUUAGCUCAUAAAUGAUCAAUUUUACCUAAGUUAGCUCAUAAGUGGUCCAUUUUACCUAAGUUAGCUCAUAAAUAAUCAAUUUUACCUAAGUUAGCUCAUAAAUGGUCCAUUUUGCCAAAGUUAGCUCAUAAAUGUCAUUUUUACCUAAGUUAGCUCAUAAAUGAUCCAUUUUACCUAAGUAGCUCAUAAAUGUCAUUUUUACCUAAGUUAGCUCAUAAAUGUCUUAUACUUCUCCUCCUCCUCCUCCUCCUCCUCCUCCUCCUUCUUCUUCUUCUUCUUCUUCUUCUUCUUCUUAUUCUUCUUCUUGUUCUUGUUCUUCUUCUUCUUUUUCUAACUAUCUUAUUUCCCAUUUUGUAGAUUUCAUUCACUUCACGGAAGCUUGCAUAGAUGGGGUGCUUGUUUUCCCUUUCUGUUUUUCUUUUGUAUCAAUGAAAAAUGUGGAUUUUUAUAUGGAUGAAACUGUUGUAAUGUGUAUGGUUGGAUGCCUACGUUGAACUUUCUAUGUAUGGUGGGAUGGAACUAUGCAUGUAUGAUGAAACUUAUAUGUGUUGGGUAUCUCAUAUGUUUGCUGUGAAAUUGCCCUGUGAUAUAUAUUUGUUGUGAAAAUGCUUGGAUAUAAGAAAAAAUAGAAUAAAAAGAGGUAAUGCAGGCUCUUUGCCGUCUGCCACUGACGGCUAAGUGGCCAUGUGGCAGCAACCUGUGCAACCUGGGAAAGACUAAAGGGAAGUUUGUUGUCUGUGGCAGACGACAAAGGCUAGGGCGGUUUGCCUUCCGUGGCAGACGACAAAGAGCGGGGAGGGCAUGAUGCGUCUACUGACAUUAGAUGGCAGACGACAAAGGACGGGGCAUAAUUGCCAUCAGCUGGCAGACGGCAAAGCCUCCUGUUAGCCACCUAACAUGGCUAACGUCUGUUCUUUGAGGUCCACCUUCUUUGCCGUCCGUUGUGCGAAAACAGAUGGCAAAUCAGUUGUUUACCGUAACUUACAGUGUCGGACAGGUUUGCCGUCCGUGGCUGACGGCAAAGACUUUGCCAUCAGCUUUUGAGUCCUUUGCCGUCUGCCAUGGCAGGCGGCAAAUCAGCUGAUUCAUGUAGUGUGUGCAUCAGCAGUGUGAGCACGACAACAAACGCCAUGAGCUCCUCCAGAAAACGUUCCAUCUCGCAAGCACCCCUAGUAUUCGUGUUACAUUCCUCCUUUAGUGGUGGACAAUGAUUUAGAGCCGCCACCACCCGAGCUUCGUAUUCUCUGGUGCUUAGGGCACUUCGGUCCCUGACUCGCUAGUCCAUAAAACAAGGUGUAUAAGUGCCUCCACCAUGCAAAAUGUGUCAUCCACAAAGCUACAAGAGUGCGGUGAAGCUCUUGUACUAUGUCAAGAAAGGACCCAUACCACCCUACAGUGAUGGCCAAGGCCAUCCGUUAUAAGGUGACAAAGAUGGAUGAUCUCUACUACACAACCUUCUUGUAGACGUUGUUGGGCCUCCAAGUGCAGAGGUUUGUAGGAAAGUAGCAAAUUUCCCUCAAGUGGAUGACCUAAGGUUUAUCAAUGCAUGGGCGGCGUAGGAUGAAGAUGGUCUCUCUCAAACAACCCUACAACCAAAUAACAAAGAGUCUCUUGUGUCCCAAACACACCCAAUACAAUGGUAAAUUGAAUAGGUGCACUAGUUUGGUGAAGAUAUGGUGAUACAAGUGCAAUAUGGAUGGUAGAUAUAGGUUUUUGUAAUAUGAAAUUAUAAAAACAGCAAGGUAGCAAGUGGUAAAAGUGAGCGAAAACGGUAUUACAAUGCUUCGAAACAAGGCCUAGGGUUCAUACUUUCACUAGUGCAAGUUCUCUCUGUUGGAAAUAUGCCCUAGAGGCAAUAAUAAAAUGGUUAUUAUUAUAUUUCCUUGUUCAUGAUAAUUGUCUAUUGUUCAUGCUAUAAUUGUAUUAACGGGAAACAGUAAUACAUGUGUGAAUACAUAGACCACAACAUGUCCCUAGUGAUCCUCUAGUUUACUAGCUCGUUGAUCAAUAGAUGGUUAUGGUUUCCUGACCGUGGACAUUGGAUGUCAUUGAUAAUGGGAUCACAUCAUUAGGAGAAUGAUGUGAUGGACAAGACCCAAUCCUAAGCAUAGCACAAGAUCGUAUAGUUCGUUUGCUAAGAGCUUUUCGAAUGUCACGUAUCAUUUCCUUCGAGCAUGAGAUUGUGCAACUCCCAGAUACCAUAGGAAUGCUUUGGGUGUACCAAACGUCACAACGUAACUGGGUGGCUAUAAAGUUGCACUAUAGGUAUCUCCGAAAGUGUCUAUUGGGUUGGCACGAAUCGAGACUGGGAUUUGUCACUCCGUAUGACGGAGAGGUAUCUCUAGGCCCACUCGGUAAUGCAUCAUCAUAAUGAGCUCAAUGUGACUAAGUAGUUAGUCACGGGAUCAUGCAUUAUGGAACGAGUAAAGUGACUUGCCGGUAACGAGAUUGAACGAGGUAUUGGGAUACCGACGAUCGAAUCUCGGGCAAGUAACGUACCAAUUGACAAAGGGAAUUGUAUACGGGAUUGCUUGAAUCCUUGACAUCGUGGUUCAUCCAAUGAUAUCAUCGUGGAACAUGUGGGAGCCAACAUGGGUAUCUAGAUCCCGCUGUUGGUUAUUGGCCGGAGAACGUCUCGGUCAUGUCUGCAUGGUUCCCGAACCCGUAGGGUCUACACACUUAAGGUGUGGUGACGCUAGAGUUGUUAUGGGAAAUAGUAUGUGGUUACUGAAGGUAGUUCGGAAUCCCGGAUGUGAUCCCGGACGUCACGAGGAGUUCUGAAAUGGUCCGGCAGUGAAGAUCGAUAUAUUGGACGAAGGGUAUUGGAGUCCGGAAGUGUUCCGGGGGUACCAGGCUAUGGCCAGCAUGACCGAAAGGUGUUUCAGGAGCCUCGGCAAGUGUUGGAGGUCCUCAUGGGCCAAAGGGGAAGGGGAAAACCAGCCCACUAAGGGGUGGUGCGCCCCCGACACCCUUUCCCACAUUAUUUGGGGAGGUGGGGCACCUCGACCUGGCUUUGGAGGCAAUCGUCCACCUGCUUGGCUUGGGGGGGAAGUCUCCCUAGGAUUUUCCCUAGGGAGAUCCAAUCUGCUUGGCCGCCGCCCCCUAGGGGAAACCCUAGGGCGCCUCCCCCUCUCCCCUUGACCCUAUAUAUAGUGGAGGGGUGGGAGGGCAGCCGCACCUCUUCCCUGGCGCAGCCCUCUCCCUCCUCCAACACCUCCUCCUCCUCCGUAGUGCUUGGCGAAGCCUUGCAGGAGAACCACGAGCUCCACCGCCACCACGCCGUCGUGCUGUUGGAGUUCUCCCUCAACUUCUCCUCUCCGCUUGCUGGAGAAAGAAGGAGGAUACGUCCCCGGGCUGUACGUGUGUUGAACGCGGAGGCACCAUUGUUCGGUGCUUAGAUCGUAUUCGACCGCGAGCUGAAUCGCUUCGUGUACGACUCCGCCGACCGCGUUCUUGUAACGCUACCGCAUCGCAAUCUUCAAGGGUAUGAAGAUACACUCAUCCUCUCCCUCUCUUGUUGCUAGAAUCUCCAUAGACUGAUCUUGGUGAUGCGUAGAAAAUUUUGUAUUUCUUCUACGUUCCCCAACAGUGGCAUCAUGAGCUAGGUCUAUGCGUAGUUUCUAUGCACGAGUAGAACACAAGUUGUUGUGGGCGUCGGUUUUGUCGGUUUACUUGCCACUACUAGUCUUAUCUUUAUUCAGCGGCAUCGUGGGAUGAAGCGGCCCGGACCGACCUUACACGUACGCUUACAUGAGAUAGGUUCCACCGACUGACAUGCACUAGUUGCAUAAGGUGGCUAGCGGGUGUCUGUCUCUCCCACUUUAGUUGGAUUGGAUUCGAUGAAAAGGGUCCUUAUGAAGGGUAAAUAGCAAUUGGCAUAUCACAUUGUGGUUUUGGCGUAGGUAAGAAACGUUCUUGCUAGAAACCUAUAGCAGCCACGUAAAAACUUGCAACAACAAUUAGAGGACGUCUAACUUGUUUUUGCAGCAUAUGCCGUGUGAUGUGAUAUGGCCAAAAGGAUGUGAUGAAUUGUAUAUAUGUGAUGUAUGAGAUUGAUCAUGUUCUUGUAAUAGGAAUCACGACUUGCAUGUCAAUGAGUAUGACAACUGGCAAGAGCCAUAGGAGUUGUCUUAAUUUAUUGUAUGACCUGCGUGUCAUUGAAUAACGCCAUGUAAUUACUUUACUUUAUUGCUAAAUCGUUAGCCAUAGUAGUAGAAGUAAUAGUUGGCGAGACAACUUCAUGAAGACACGAUGAUGGACAUCAUGGUGUCAUGCCGGUGACGAAGGUGAUCAUGCCAUGCCUCAAGAUGGAGAUCAAAGGCGCAAGAUGAUAUUGGCCAUAUCAUGUCACUUUAUGAUUUGCAUGUGAUGUUUGUCAUGUUUACAUCUUAUUUGCUUAGAACGACGGUAGCAUAAAUAAGAUGACCCCUCUUAAAUUUUCAAGAAAGUGUCCCCCCCUAAAUGUGCACCGUUGCGAAAGUUCGUUGUUUCGAAGCACCACGUGAUGAUCGGGUGUGAUAGAUUCUAAUAUUCGCAUACAACGGGUGUAAGCAAGAUUUACACAUGCAAAACACUUAGGUUGACUUGACGAGCCUAGCAUGUACAGACAUGGCCUCGGAACACAAGAGACCGAAAGGUCGAACAUGAGUUGUAUAGUGGAUACGAUCAACAUGAAGAUGUUCACCGAUGAUGACUAGUCCGUCUCACGUGAUGAUUGGACACGGCCUAGUUGACUCGGAUCAUGUAUCACUUGGAUGACUAGAGGGAUGUCUAUCUGAGUGGGAGUUCAUUAAAUAAUUUGAUUAGAUGAACUUAAUUAUCAUGAACAUAGUCAAAAGGUCUUUGCAAAUUAUGUCGUAGCUCAUGCUUUGGUUCUACUAUUUUAGAUAUGUUCCUAGAGAAAAUUUUAGUUGAAAGUUGAUAGUAGCAAUUAUGCGGACUGGGUCCGUAAACUGAGGAUUGUCCUCAUUGCUGCACAGAAAGCUUAUGUCCUUAAUGCACCGCUCGGUGUGCUGAACCUCGAGCAUCGUUUGUCGAUGUUGCGAACAUCUGACAUACACGUUUUGAUGACUACGUGAUAGUUCACUGCGUAAUGUUAAACGGUUUAGAAUUGAGGCACCGAAGACAUUUUUGAUACGUCACAGAACAUAUGAGAUGUUACAAGAGCUGAAAUUGGGAUUUCGGGCUUGUGCCCACGUCAAGAGGUAUGAGACCUUUGAUAAGUUUCUUAGCUUGCAAACUACGGGAGAAAAGCUCAAUCGUUGAGCAUGUGCUCAGAUUGUCUGAGUACUACAAUCGCUUGAAUUGAGUGGGAGUUAAUCUUCCAUAUGACAUAGUGAUAGUUCUCCAAAAAGUCACUGCCACCAAGCUACUAGAGCUUCGUGAUGAACUAUAACAUACCAGGGAUAAAUAUGAUGAUCCUUGAGCUGUUCGCGAUGUUUCACACCAUGAAAGUAGAAAUCAAGUAGGAGCAUCAAUUGUUGAUGGUUAGUAAAACCACUAGUUUCAAGAAGGGCAAGGGCAAGAAGGGAUACUUCAUGAAAUGGAAAAUCAGCUGCUACUCUAGUGAAGAAACCCAAGGUUGAACCCAAACCCAAGACUAAGUGCUUCUGUAAUGAGGGGAGCGGUCACUGAAGCAAAACUGCCCUAGAUACUUGGUAGAUGAGAAGGCUGGCAAGGUCGACAGAAGUAUAUUGGAUAUACAUUAUAUUAAUGUGUACUUUACUAGUACUCCUAGUAGCACGAGGGUAAUAGAUACCGAUUCGGUUGCUAAGUGUUGGUCGCUCGAAAUAAAAGGCUACGGAACAAAUAGAGACUAGCUAAACGUGAGAUGACGAUAUGUGUUGGAAGUGUUUCCAAGGCUGAUGUGAUCAAGCAACGCAUGCUCCCUCUACCAUCGAGAUUGGUGUUAAACCUAAAUAAUUGUUAUUUGCUAUUUGCAUUGAGCAUAGACAUGAUUAGAUUAUGUUUAUCGCAAAAAGGUUAUUCAUUUAAGGAGAAUAAUGGUUACUAUGUUUAUUUGAAUAAUACCUUCAAUGGUCUUGCACCUAAAAUGAAUGGUUUAUUGAAUCUCAAUUGUAGUGAUACACAUGUUCAUGCCAAAAGAUAUAAGAUAGUAAUGAUAGUACCACAUACUUGUGGCACUGCCACUUGAUUCAUAUUGGUAUAAAACGCAUGAAGAAGCUCCAUGUUUGAUGGAUCUUUGGACUCACUCGUUUUUGAAAAAGAUUGAGACAUGCAAACCAUGUCUAUUGGUAUAUAUGCAUGAAGAAACUCCAUACAGAUAGAUCAUUUGGACUCACUUGAUUUUGAAUCACUUGAGACAUGCAAAUCAUACCACAUGGGCAAGAUGACUGAAAGGCCUCGUUUUCAGUAAGAUGGAACAAGAAAGAAACUUGUUGGAAGUAAUACAUUUUGAUGUGUGCAGUCCAAUGAGUGCUGAGGCACGCAGUGGAUAUCGUUAUGUUCUUACUUCAUAGAUGAUUUGAGUAGAUGCUGAGUAUAUUUACUUGAUGGAACACAAGUCUGAAUUAUUGAAAGGCUCAAGUAAUUUCAGAGUGAAGUUGAAGAUCGUCGUGACAAGAGGAUAAAAUGUCUAUGAUAUGAUCAUAGAGAUCAGUAUCUGAGUUAUGAGUUUGGUAUACAAUUAAGACAUUGUGGAAAUUGUUUCACAACUAAUACCGCCUGGAACACCAUAGUGUGAUGGUGUGUCCGAACAUCAUAGCUGCACCCUAUUGGAUAUGGUGCAUACCAUGAUGUCUCUUAUCGAAUUACCACUAUCGUUUAUGGGUUAGGCAUUAGAGACAACGACAUUCACUUCAAAUAGGGCACCACGUAAUUCCGUUGAGAUGACAGCGUAUGAACUAUGGUUUAGAGAAACCUAAGCUAUCAUUUCUUAAAAAUUGGGGCUGCGAAGCUUAUGUGGAAAAGUUUUAGCUGGAUAAGCUCAAACCCAAAGCAGAUAAAUGCAUCUUCAUACGAUACCCAAAACAGUUGGGUAUACCUCCUAUUUCAGAUCCGGAAGCAAAAGUGAUUGUUUCCAGAAACGGGUACUUUCUCGAGGAAAAGUUUCUCUCGAAAGAAUUGAAUGGGAGGAUGGUGGAGUCUUGAUGAGGUUAUUGAACCGUCACUUAAACUAGUGUGUAGGAGGGCACAGGAAGUUGUUCCUGUGGUGCCUAGACCAAUUGAAGUGGAAGCUGAUGAUAUCGAUCAUGAAACUUUGGAUCAAGUCAAUACCAAAACUCGUAGGUUGACAAGGAUACGUACUACUUCAGAGUGGUACGUAAUCCUGUCUUGGAGGUCAUGUUGCUAGACAACAAUGAACCUAAGAGCUAUGGAGAAGCGAUGGUGGGCCCGGAUUCCGACGAAUGGCUCGAGGCCAUAAAAUCUGAGAGAGGAUCCAUGUAUGAAAACAAAGUAUGGACUUUGGAGGAACCACUUGAUGGUUGUAAGGCUGUUGUGUGCAGAUGGGUUUUAAAAGGAAGACGGACAAUGAUGAUAAGUAUCACCAUUAAGAAAGCUCGACUUGUCAUUAAGAUAUUUUCUGACAAGUUCAAGGAGUUGACUACGAUGAGACUUCCUCACUCGUAGCAAUGCUAAGAGUCUGUUGGAAUUAUAUUAGCAAUUACUGCAUUAUUUAUGAAAUCUUACAGAUAGGAUGUGAAAACAUUGUUUCCUCAACGAUUUUCUUGAGGAAAGGUUGUAUGUGAUACAACCAGAAGGUUUUGACAAUCCUGAAAGAUGCUAACAAGUAUGCAAAGCUCCAGCAAUCCUUCUAAGGACUAGAGUAAGCAUCUCGGAGUUAGAAUGUACACUUUGAUGAGAUGAUCAAAGAUUUUGGGUUUUAUACAAAGUUUAUGAGAAACUUGUAUUUCCAAAGAAGUGAGUGGGAGCACUAUAGAAUUUCUAAUGAGUAUAUGUUGUUGACAUAUUGUUGAUCAGAAUUGAUGUACAGUUUCUCGAAAGCAUAUAGGGUUAUUUGAAAAGUGUUUUUCAAUGGAAAACCUGGAUUGAGCUACUUGAACAUUGAGCAUCAAGAUCUAUAAGGAUAGUUCAAAAUCGCUUAAUAUUACUUUCAAAUGAACACAUACCGUGACAAGAUUUUGAAGGAGUUCAAAAUAGAUCGGCAAAGAAGGAGUUCUUGGCUGUGUUAUAAGGUGUGAGUAUUGAGUAAGACUCAAGACCUGACCACGGCAGAAUAGAGAGAAAGGACGAAGGCCGUCCCCUAUGCUUUAGACAUAGGCUCUACAGUAUGCAAUGCUAUGUACCGCACCUGAAGUGUGCCUUUCCAUGAGUCAGUCAAGGGGUACAAGUGUGGUCCAGGAAUGGAUCACAGGACAAUGGUCAAGGUUAUCCUUAGUAACUAGUGUACUAAGGAAUUUUCUCGAUUAUAGAGGUGGUAAAAGAGUUCGUCGUAAAUGGUUACAUCGAUGCAAACUUUGACGCUAAUCCGGAUGACUCUGCAUAGCAAACUGGAUUCGUAUAGUAGAGCAGUUAUUUGGAAUAGUUCCAAAUAGCGCGUGGAACCUGCAUCUACACGAUGACAUAGAGAUUUGUAAAGCACACACGGAUCUGAAAGGUUCAGACCUGUUGACUAAUAAACCUCUCUCACAAGCGAGAUAUGAUCAAACACCAUGGGUGUUGGAUUCAUUACAAUCACAUAAUGAUGUGAACUAGACUAUUGACUCUAGUGCAAGUGGGAGACUGUUGGAAAUAUUCCCUAGAGGCAAUAAUAAAAUGGUUAUUAUUAUAUUUCCUUGUUCAUGAUAAUUGUCUAUUGUUCAUGCUAUAAUUGUAUUAACUGGAAACCGUAAUACAUGUGUGAAUACAUAGACCACAACAUGUCCCUAGUGAGCCUCUAGUUGACUAGCUUGUUGAUCAAUAGAUGGUUAUGGUUUCUUGACCAUGGACAUUGGAUGCCAUUGAUAAUGGGAUCACAUCAUUAGGAGAAUGAUGUGAUGGACAAGACCCACUCCUAAGCAUAGCACCAGAUCGUAUAGUUCGUUUGCUAAGAGCUUUUCUAAUGUCAAGUAUCAUUUCCUUAGACCAUGAGAUUGUGCAACUCCCGGAUACCGUAGGAAUGCUUUGGGUGUACCAAACAUCACAAGGUAACUGGGUGGCUAUAAAGGUGCACUACAGGUAUCUCCGAAAGUGUCUGUUGGGUUGGCACGAAUCCAGACUGGGAUUUGUCACUCCGUAUGACGGAGAGGUAUCUCUGGGCCCACUCGGUAAUGCAUCAUCAUAAUGAGCUCAAUGUGACUAAGUAGUUAGUCACGGGAUCAUGCAUUAUGGAACGAGUAAAGUGACUUGCCGGCAACGAGAUUGAACGAGGUAUUGGGAUACCGACGAUCGAAUCUCGGGCAAGUAACGUACCGAUUGACAAAGGGAAUUAUAUACGGGAUUGCUUGAAUCCUUGACAUUGUGGUUCAUCCGAUGAGAUCAUCGUGGAACAUGUGGGAGCCGACAAGGGUAUCCAGAUCCCGCUGUUGGUUAUUGGACGGAGAACGUCUCAGUCAUGUCUGCAUGGUUCCCGAACCCGUAGGGUCUACAGACUUCAGUUUUUGUGACGCUAGAGUUGUUAUGGGAAAUAGUAUGUGAUUACCGAAGGUAGUUCGGAGUCCCGGAUGUGAUCCUGGAUGUCACGAGGAGUUCCGAAAUGGUCCGGCGGUGAAGAUCGAUAUAUUGGACGAAGGGUAUUGGAGUCCGGAAGUGUUCCGAGGGUACCAGGCUAUGGCCAGCAUGACUGAAAGGUGUUUUGGGAGCCUCGACAAGUGUUGGAGGGCCUCAUGGGCCAAAGGGGAAGGGGCAAACGAGCCCACUAAGGGGUAGUGCCCCCCCCCCACACCCUUUCCCACGUUAUUUGGGGAGGUGGGGCGCCUCCACUUGACUUGGGAGGCAAUCCUCCACCUGCUUGGCUUAGGGGGCAAGUCUCCAUAGGAUUUUCCCUAAGGAGAUCCAAUCUGCUUGACCGCCCCCCCUAGGGGAAACCCUAGGGCGCCUCCCCCUCUCCCCUUGCCCCUAUAUAUAGUGGAGGGGUGGGAGGGCAGCCGCACCUCUUCCCCAGGGCAGCCCUCUCCCUCCUCCAACACCUCCUCCUCCUCCGUAGUGCUUGGCGAAGACAUGCUGGAGAACCACGAGCUCCACCACCAGCACGCCGUCGUGCUGUCGGAGUUCUCCCUCAACUUCUCCUCUCCCCUUGCUGGAUCAACAAGGAGGAGACGUCCCCGGGCUGUACGUGUGUUGAACACGGAGGCACCGUUGUUCGGUGCUUAGAUCAGAUUCGACCAUGAUCUGAAUCGCUUCAUGUACGACUCCACCGACUGUGUUCUUGUAACGCUUCCGCAUCGCGAUCUUCAAGGGUAUGAAGAUACACUCAUCCUAUCCCUCUAUUGUUGCUAGAAUCUCCAUAGAUUGAUCUUGGUGAUGCGUAGAAAAUUUUAAAUUUCUGCUACGUUCCCCAACACUCUCAACAAUAAUAACAUAAUUGGAUCAUAUAACAAUCCCUCAACACGCAACCAAGAGUCACUCCAAAGUCACUAAUAGCGGAGAACAAACGAAGAUAUUAUUGUAGGGUACGAAACCAUCUCAAAGUUAUUCUUUCCAAUCAAUCCAUUGGGCUAUUCCUAUAAGUUACACAAACAACCCUAGAGUUCGUAGUAAAAUAACACCUUAAGACACACAUCAACCAAAACCCUAAUGUCACCUAGAUACUCCAAUGUCACCUCAAGUAUCUGCGGGUAUGAUUAUAUGAUAUGCAUCACACAAUCUCAGAUUCAUCUAUUAAAAUGACACAAAGAACUUCAAAGACUGCCCCAAAGUUUCUACCGGAGAAUCAAGACGAAAAUGUGUGCCAACCCCUAUGCAUAGAUUCCCAAGGUCACGAAACCCGCAAGUUGAUCCGCAAAACAUACAUCAAGUGAAUCAAUAGAAUACCCCAUUGUCACCAUGGGUAUCCCACGCAAGACAUACAUCAAGUGUUCUCAAAUCCUUAAAGACUCAAUCCGAUAAAAUAACUUCAAAGGAAAAACUUAAUCCAUUACAUGAAGGUAGAGGGGGAGAAACAUCAUACGAUCCAACUAUAAUAGCAAAGUUCACGAUACAUCAAGAUCGUGCCAAAUCAAGAACACGAGAGAGAGAGAGAGAGAGAGAGAGAGAGAGAGAGAUCAAACACAUAGCUACUGGUACAUACCCUCAGCCCCGAGGGUGAACUACUCCCUCCUCGUCAUGGAGAGUGUCGGGAUGAUGGAGAUAGCCACUGGUGAUGAUUCCCCCCUCCGACAGGGUGCCAAAACGGGGUAUAGAUUGGUUUUUGGUGGCUAUAGAGGCUUGCAGCGGCGGAACUCCCGGUCUAGGUUUAUUUCUUGGGGUUUCUGUAUUUAUAGGAAUUUUUGGCAUUGUUCUCAUGCCAGGGGGUGUUUCCGAGUCAUCCACAAGUUAGGGGGGCGCCCAUGUGGGUAGGGCGCACCCUCCACCCUCGUGGAUGGCUCGGGACUCUUCUGGCCCAGCUCUUCUACUUCAGGAGCUUCUUUUGGUCCAUAAAAAUCCACAAAAAUUGGCAGGUCAAUUGGACUCCGUUUGGUAUUCCUUUUCUGUAGAACUCAAAAAAAGGAAAAAGCCAGAAACUGGCACUAGGCUCUAGGCUAAAAGGUUAGUCCCAAAAAUCAUAUAAAAUAGCAUAUAAAUGCAUAUAAAACAUCCAAGAUGGAUAGUAUAAUAGCAUGGAACAAUAAAAAUUAUAGAAACGUUGGAGACGUAUCAAGCAUCCCCAAGCUUAAUUCCUGCUCGUCCUCAAGUAGGUAAAUGAUAAAAACAGAAUUUUUGAUGUGGAAUGCUACCUAACAUAUGUAUCCAUGGUAUUUCUUUUAUUAUGACAUGAAUGUUCAGAUCCGAAAGAUUCAAAACAAAAGUUUAAUAUUGACAUGAAAACAAUAAUACUUCAAGCAUACUAAGAAAGCAAUCAUCUCUUCUCAAAAUAGCAUGGCCAAAGAAAGUUAUUCCUACAAAAUCAUAUAGUCUGGCUAUGCUCUAUCUUCAUCACACAAAAUAUUUGAAUCAUGCACAACCCCGAUGACAAGCCAAGUAAUUGUUUCGUACUUUUGAUGUUCUCAAACUUUUUCAAUCUUCACGCAAUACAUGAGCGUGAGCCAUGGAUAUAGCACUAUGUUGGAAUAGAAUGGUGGUUGUGGAGAAGACAAAAAGGAGAACAUAGUCUCACAUCAACUAGGAGUAUCAACGGGCUAUGGAGAUUCCCAUCAAUAGAUAUCAAUGUGUGUGAGUAGGGAUUGCCAUGCAACGAAUGGACUAGAGCUAUAAGUGUAUGAAAGCUCAAAAAGAAACCAAGUGGGUGUGCAUCCAACUUGCUUGCUCAACAAGACCUAGGGCAUUUGAGGAAGCCCAUCAUUGGAAUAUACAAGACAAGUUCUAUAAUGAAAAUUUCCCACUAGUAUAUGAAAGUGACAACAUAGGAGACUAUCUAUCGUGAAGAUCUUGGUGCUACUUUGAAGCACAAGUGUGGUAAAAGGAUAGUAGCAUUGUCCUUUCUCUCUUUUUCUCUCAAUUGUUUUUAUUUUUUCGGGGCCUUCUCUUUUUUUGGCCUCUUUUUUUAUAAUUUUUUUUAUUUUUCGUCCGGAGUCUCAUCCCGACUUGUGGGGGAAUCAUAGUCUCCAUCAUCCUUUCCUCAUUGGGACAAUGCUCUAAUAAUGAAGAUCAUCACACUUUUAUUUUCUUUACAACUCAAGAAUUACAGCUCAAUACUUAGACAAAAAUAUGAUUCUAUAUGAAUGCCUCCGGCGGUGUUCCGGGAUGUGCAAUGAAUCAAGAGUGACAUGUAUGAAAGAAUUAUGAACGGUGGCUUUGCCAGAAAUACGAUGUCAACUACAUGAUCAUGCAAAGCAAUAUGACAAUGAUGAAGCGUGUCAUAAUAGACGGAACGGUGGAAAAUUGCAUGGCAAUAUAUUUGGGAAUGGCUAUGGAAAUGCCAUAAUAGGUAGGUAUGGUGGCUGGUUUGAGGAAGGUAUACGGUGGGUGUAUGGUACCGGCGAAAGUGGGGCGGUACAAGAGACGCUAGCAAUGGUGGAAGGGUGAGAGUGCGUAUAAUCCAUGGACUCAACAUUAGUCAAAAACAACUCACAUACUUAUUGCAAAAUCUAUUAGUUAUCGAAACGAAGUACUACGUGCGUGCUCCUAGGGGGAUAGAUUGGUAGGAAAAGACCAUCUCUCGUCCCCGACCGCUACUCAUAAGUAAGACAAUCAAUAAAUAAAUCAUGCUCCAACUUCAUCACAUAACGGUUCAUCAUACGUGCAUGCUACGGGAAUCACAAACUUUAACACAAGUAUCUCUCAAAUUCACAACUACUGUACUAGCAUGACUCUAAUAUCACCAUCUUCAUAUCUCAAAACAAUCAUAAGGAAUCAAACUUCUCAUAGUAUUCAAUGCACUUUAUAUGAAUGUUUUUAUUAUAUCCCUCUUGGAUGCCUAUCAUAUUACGACUAAAUUUAUAACUCAAGCAAAUUACCAUGCUGUUAUAAAGACUCUUAAAAUAAUAUAAGUGAAGCAUGAGAUUUCAUCAAUUUCUUCAAAAAUAAAACUACCAUCAUGCUCUGAAAAGAUAUAAGUGAAGCACUAGAGCGAACGACAAACUACUCCAAAAGAUAUAAGUGGAGAUCAAUGAGUAGUUGAACAAUUAUGCAACUAUGUGAAGACUCUAUAACAUUUAAGAAUUUCAGAUCUUGUGAUAUUACUCAAACAGCAAGAAAAACAAAAUAAAAUAAAAUGACGCUCCAAGCAAAACACAUAUCAUGUGGUGAAUAAAAAUAUAGCUCCAAGUAAAGUUACCAAUGAACGAAGACGAACGAGGGGAUGCCUUCCGGGGCAUCCCCAAGCUUAGGAUCUUGGUUGUCCUUGAAUAUUACCUUGGGGUGCCUUGGUCAUCCCUAAUCUUAGGCUCUUUCCACUCAUUAUUCCAUAGUCCAUUGAAUCUUUACCCAAAACUUGAAAACUUCACAACACAAAACUCAACAGAAAAUCUCAUAAGCUCCGUUAGUAUAAGAAAAUAAAUCAUGACUUUUGGUACUGUUUUGAAAUCAUUAUAAAUUCAUAUUUGUGUAAUAUAUACUGUAUUCCAACUUCUCUAUGGUUCAUACCGUCCGAUACUACUCAUAGAUUUAUCAAAAUAAGCAAACAACACAUAGAAAACAGAAUCUGUCAAAAAUAGAAUAGUCUGUAGUAAUCUGUAACUCUCGAAUACUUAUGUAACUCCAAAAAUUAUGAAAUAAAUUGGUGGACAUGAGGAAUUUUUAUAUUAAUAUUAUGCAAAAAUAAUCAACUCAAAACCACUCUUCUGUUAAAAAUGACAAUUAUUCUCAUGAGCACAAAGUUUCCGUUUUUUACAGCAAGAUCACACUGACUUUCACCCAAGUCUUCGCAAAGGUUCUACUUUGCACUUUAUUGAAACAAAAGCAAUAAAACAUGAUUACUACAGUACCUUAAUCAUGUGGACACACAAAAACAGUAGGGGUAAAUAUUGGGUUGUCUCCCAAAAAGCGCUUUUCUUUAAUGCCUUUUUAGGUAGGCAUGAUGAUGAUAAUGAUGCUCACAUAUAUAAAAGAUAAGAAUUGAAACAUAAUGAGAGAAUCAUGAAGCAUAUGACUAGCACAUUUAAGUCUAACCCACUUCCUAUGCAUAGGGAUUUUGUGAGCAAACAAUUCAUGGGAGCAAGAAUCAACUAGCAUAGGAAGGCAAAACAAGCAUAACUUCAAGAUUUUCAACACAUAGAGAGGAAACUUAAUAUUAUUGCAAUUACUACAAGCUUAUGUUCCUCCCUCAUAAUAAUUUUCAGUAGAAUCAUGAAUGAAUUCAACAAUAUAACUAUCACAUAAAGUAUUACUUUCAUGAUCUACAAGCAUAGAAAUCUUAUUACUCUCCACAUAAGCAAAUUUCUUCUCCUCAUGAAUAGUAGUGGGAGCAAACUCAACAAAAUAACUAUCAUGUGAGGCAUAAUCCAAUUGAAAUUUAAAAUCAAGAUGACAAGUUUCAUGGUUAUCAUUAUUCUUUAUAGCAUACAUGUCAUCACAAUAAUCAUCAUAGAUAGCAACUUUGUUCUCAUAAUCAAUUGGAACCUCUUCCGAAAUAAUGGAUUCAUCACUAAAUAAAGUCAGGACCUCUCCAAGUCCACUUUCAUCCAUAUAAUCAUCAUAAAUAGGAGGCAUGCUAUCCUCAUAAUAUAUUUUCUCAUCAAAACUUGGGGGACUAAAAAUAUCAUAUUCAUCAAACAUAGCAUCCCCAAGCUUGUGGGUUUGCAUAUCAUUAGCAUCAUGGAUAUUCAAGGAAUUCAUACUAACAACAUUGCAAUCAUGCUCAUCAUUCAAAGAUUUAGUGCCAAACAUUUUAUAGACUUCUUCUUCUAACACUUUGGCACAAUUAUCGGAAUCCUUAUUUUCACGAAAUACAUUAAAAAGAUGAAGCAUAUGAGGCACACUCAAUUCCAUUUUUUUGUAGUUUUCUUUUUUAGACUAAACUAGUGAUAAAACAAGAAACAAAAAGAUUCAAUUGCUACAUCUAAAGAUAUACCUUCAAGCACUAACCUCCUCAGCAACAACGCCAGAAAAGAGCUUGAUGUCUACUACACAACCUUCUUCUUGUAGACGUUGUUGGGCCUCCAAGUGCAGAGGUUUGUAGGACAGUAGCAAAUUUCCAUCAAGUUGAUGACCUAAGGUUUAUCAAUCCAUGGGAGGCAUAGAAUGAAGAUGGUCUCUCUCAAACAACCCUGCAACCAAAUAACAAAGAGUCUGUUGUGUCCUCAACACACCCAAUAAUAUGGUAAAUUGUAUAGGUCCACUAGUUCGGCGAAGAGAUGGUGAUACAAGUGCAAUAUGGAUGGUAGAUAUAGGUUUUUGUAAUCUGAAAUUAUGAAAACAACAAGGUAGCAAGUGGUAAAAGUGAGCGAAAUAAGUAUUGCAAUGCUUCAAAACAAGGCCUAGGGUUCAUACUUUCACUAGUGCAAGUUCCCUACACAAUAAUAACAUAAUUGGAUCAUAUAACAAUCCCUCAACAUGCAACCAAGAGUCACUCAAAAGUCACUAAUAGAGGAGAACAAACGAAGAGAUUAUUGUAGGGGACGAAACCACCUCAAAGUUAUUCUUUCCGAUCAAUCCAUUGGGCUAUUCCUAUAAGUUUCACAAACAGCCCUCGAGUUCGUAGUAAAAUAACACCUUAAGACACACAUCAACCAAAACACUAAUGUCACCUAGAUACUCCAAUGUCACCUCAAGUAUCCGCGGGUAUGAUUAUACGAUAUGCAUCACACAAUCUCAGAUUCAUCUGUUCAACCAACACAAAGAACUUCAAAGAGUGCCCCAAAGUUUCUACCGGAGAGUCAAGACGAAAAUGUGUGCCAAUCCCUAUGCAUAGAUUCCCAAGGUCACAGAACCCGCAAGUUGAUCACCAAAACAUACAUCAAGUGAAUCAAUAGAAUACCCCAUUGUCACCACGUGUAUCCCACGCAAGACAUACAUCAAGUGUUCUCAAAUCCUUAAAGACUCAAUCCGAUAAGAUAACUUCAGAGGGAAAACUCAAUCCAUUACAAGAAGGUAGAGGCGGAGAAACAUCAUAGGAUCCAACUAUAAUAGCAAAGCUCACGAUACAUCAGGAUCGUGCGAAAUGAAGAACAAGAGAGAGAGAGAGAGAGAGAGAGAGAGAGAUCAAACACAUAGCUACUGGUACAUACCCUCAGCCCCGAGGGUGAACUACUCCCUUCUCGUCAUGGAGAGCAUCGAGAUGAUGAAGAUGACCACCGGUGAUGAUUCCCCCUCCGGUAGGGUGCCAUAACGGGGUUGUCGGUGUCAAAACCGGCGGAUCUCGGGUAGGGGGUCCCGAACUGUGCGUCUAGGCGGAUGGUAACAGGAGACGAGGGACACGAUGUUUUACCCAGGUUCGGGCCCUCUUGAUGGAGGUAAAACCCUACCUCCUGCUUGAUUAAUAUUGAUGAUGUGGGUUACAAGAGUAGAUCUACCACGAGAUCAAGGAGGCUAAACCCUAGAAGCUAGCCUAUGGUAUGAUUGUUGUUCGUCCUAUGGACUAGGGCCAUCCGGUUUAUAUAGACACCGGAGAGGGCUAGGGUUACACAGAGUCGGUUACAAAGGUAGGAGAUCUACAUAUCCGUAUCGCCAAGCUUGCCUUCCACGCCAAGGAAAGUCCCAUCCGGACACGGGACGAAGUCUUCAAUCUUGUAUCUUCAUAGUCUUGGAGUCCGGCCGAUGAUGAUAGUUCGGCUAUCCGGACACCCCCUAGUCCGGGACUCCCUCAGUAGCCCCUGAACCAGGCUUCAAUGACGACGAGUUCGGCGCGCAUAUUGUCUUCGGCAUUGCAAGGCGGGUUCCUCCUCCGAAUAAUUUAUAGAAGAUUGGGAACACCAGGAUAGUGUCCGGCUCUGCAAAAAUAAAUUCCACAUACCACCGUAGAGAGAAUAAUAUUACACAAGAUCAAUCUGUUCAUGUAUUCUGUGGCGUGACGUCACACCACUUCCAAGCCUUUACUCGAAUUGUUUUUAUUGUUCCACCUCAGCGCGUUUAGCGAGGCGGUUUCCUUGGCACGUCUUGUCGAAGCAGAGAUCGUGUUCCCCUUAUUCCGGGAUUCCCAUUAAUACGGACAUGGGUAACCCAAACGCGCCCGUUGCCACGCCCCCUCCAUCGAAGGCGGGUUCCAAACGUUCACGGGGACGGCUCUUGGUAUUCUUCCUCUUUAUAAUGAGACCAAGGCCCGUUCUUUUUAUUCAAUCCUCUAUCGAAUCCUCCCCUCUCCCUGAGUUCCAACACCUAGGGCUCCGAAUUCAGGUACCUUCGAUCUUUGACAAUGUCUGGUCCUGAUCUACGAGGCUGGUGGAUGCCCUCCUCCGUCACGGAGGAGGACAUGCUAAAGCUGAGAGAUGCCAGGUAUUUAACCUAUGAGAUUUUGCAUAGGCUGCCUUCCCGAGGGCAAGUUAUCCCAACUCCCGAGCCUGGCGAGAUCGUCGUGUUCGUGUCUCACUUCCGUCGGGGUUUAGGCUUCCCGACGGAUCCCUUCAUGAGGGGGCUCAUGUUUUACUAUGGGCUGGAAUUCCAUGACUUGGCUCCGGAGUCCAUCCUCCAUAUCUCAUCAUUCAUUGUCGUCUGUGAAGCCUUUCUCCGCACUACCCCUUACUUCGGCUUAUGGCUCAAAACCUUCAACAUGGAGCCGAAGAUGAUUGAGGGGCGUCAGGCAGAGUGCGGUGGGGCGGUUAUAAGCAAGAGGGCCGAAGCUCCAUGGCCCAAGGGCUCUUUCCAAGAGGAGCUCGGCUUGUGGCAACAGGAGUGAUUUUAUAUCACCGCUCCCCGGGGCAGCAGGCAGAAGCCGCCGCCCGUCUUUCGCUCGGGCCCUCCACAGCAGCUGACGUCAUGGGUCAACAAGGGGCGUGACUGGGGGCCGCCCAAAGACGUCCCCCUGCUGCAGGACCGGAUUCGAGGCCUCCAAGAAAGGGAGAUCAAUCUGGUCGCAGUGGUGCAGGUCAUGUUGAUCCGGCGCCUACUGCCCUACAAACGUCGCCCCCUUCGCCCAUGGGAAUUUAAUCCGGAGGGGCCACGAGCUCUUCAACACUUCAUGGGUUUGACUCCCAUGGAGAUGUAUAAACUGUUCUUCGGAUCACAAGAGACGCAUCCGGAAUUGACCGAGGACGCUGGCCUAAGCUGCAAUCGCCCGGAUACUCAAGUAAGUAGCCAUGUGUCCGGACACACCGUCCAUUUAUUUUUCGUGAGCUUGCCUUUUAACCAGCUAUCCCUGGACAGGAGUGGAUAGCGCAAGCAAAACUGAUACGGUGUCCGGCCCCCCUCCCUGAGACCAUGCAGGAUCCCAUGUUAAUCAAAAUCUUGGAGGUUGCACCUUCGAAUGAGGGCGAAGGGGGGCACGGGAAAACUGUCACCUCUGCCAAGGAGGCGUUUAGUAAGGGAGGAAUCGAGAGUCCCUCAUUCCAGGGGGAGAAGAGGAACGCUUCCGAAGACCCGGAGGCCAAGGCCUCAAAACGGGGAAAGAAAUCUGUACCGGAAGGUCCUGCGCCAGAAAGCGCCUCGGCCGUAUUGUCUCCUCGGAGGAAUCAGCCCUCUAACGAGCCAUAAGUGAAAAGGGGGAUUUUAUAAUUAUCAGUCACCCCUGCUUAAUGUCUAAAGGUAAUGAAGUUUUUACCUUGUAGUUCGGAUGUCAGCCUAUCUCAGCACAGCUCGUCUUCGGGAGACCUUCGUCCGGAGAUGAUGGAAAGCGAAACGCCUUCAUCUACCUCCCCAUCAUGCGGGGCGGACGACCCUGAGGUGUCAUCACGGAGGGUCUCCCCAAGUCCGGCGGUGGAGCUGCAGGAUUUGCUUAAGAGGGCGUCCAUCUCAGAAGAUCACCGCACAUUAAUGGGUGAUGUGAUUGAGAGGAUUUCGUCCGCCGAAACCGGGUUGUAUGAGGCCGUCGGAAUUUUACUGACGGGAUUUGAGGUACGCAAAAAAUGACAUACCUGUUGACAGUUUUGCACAUGAAGUGCGCCCUGUAUAGAUAGUAGCCCCUGAGACUUGGUAUGCUGUCGAAAGCGAUAGCGUGCUAAGGAUCGUAAUCUCAGUUAUAGAAUGCCUCCUUUCCUAUGCAGGUGGCGGAUCGUCCGGUGGCCAACCGGACUGAUGGAUUUGCCGAGCUGAGAAGGCAACUCGACGUUGCGGAUGCGGACAUCUCGCUGGUCAAUAAACGACUGGAUGAGUCACAAGGUACGUGGUUGCUCCGUGGUCGCCUAGUAAGGAGGCUGACGCCCGUGCCUUACAAUUUUUAUGCUUGAUGCAGAUGGCGCUACCACUAUGGAAGGCCUUCGAGCCAAACUUGCUUGGGCCAAGGAGCAAGCCAGAAAAAGCGAGGCGGCUGCCUCGAAGGCAGCGGAAGAGCUAGAAGCCGAGAAGGCUGCGCACUGCUGAAGCAGGGAGGAGAUGGCCGGAAUGGCCGCGAAAUUAAAAGUUGCUACCGACCGCCAGGAGGUUCUUGAAAGAGAACGUCGAGCGGAACAAGAGGAUCUGAAGAAGGCCGACGCCGAAGCCAAAGAUGCCCGUAGUGCGAUGCGGGCUAUGAAGGAGGAACUGCGUCAAAUCCGAGACAUUGUGGCUGGAAAGCCCUUUAUGCUGCGCAGGAAGUUCACGGAUCCGGAGUAUGCUCAGCUCGGCCGAUUGUAUGAUGCGGAGGAUCCUUAUCUGGACUUGGCAGCGAGUGCGGCAGACGCAGUCGUGCACUUCCGAAGCCAGAAGGGUCACGAAAUGGAAGAGCUUUUCUGGUCUCAAUUCCAUAGUCCGGAGCGUCAACUGCCGCUGAGUGAUCGGCUGGUUGAGUGGGCUGAGCUAAAUAGAUUGUCCGGACUUGCCAUGACGGAUGUGGUCACUCAUCUUUGGCCGGGAAGAUCCAAGCCGAAGAGUUAUUUUGGCUUGUUGCAGCAAUUCCUUGGGGCAGUGCCGCAUAUUAAGGCGAUGAAGUGGUCGGCAUGCAUAGAAGGUGCACGGAUGGCUCUCGCCCGUGGUAAAACAUACUAGGCGGAGAUGGAUGCCACCGCUGUUGCAUCCCGGGGUUCGGACAAAAGCCAAUUCCCCACCGAGCAUUACUCUGAGGAAGUCCUGCAGGGCGCUCGUAUAAUAGAGUCGCAGUGCUCGAAAGAUGUUAUGUUUGAAUGACAUGUAUGAUUUCUAAGAUCAUGUUUAUAAUGCAAUGACUUUUUAUACUUGUGUGUUCAAGUAUUGAACUAUCUCCUGUGCGGCCGUAUAUGUAUGUAUAAUCUGAAAGAUGGCAGUCUUUGGCUUCAGCCCCCACGCACAUGGUGCGGGGGUGUUUGCAAAAAGAAAAACACUUUUUCACACUUAAUCCAACGUCUUGGUCCUUUUAAGGAGGUGAUAGCAUAGCAAACUAGGCAACCGGACUAUAAUGCUUUAUCACUUUCACUUAGCCAUAGGAGCUCGAAUGUGGGGCUACUAUAUAGCCCCUGAUGGCACCGUGCUUCUCCGAACUCGGGGCGCGUAUGUGCCUGACCGGGAAGCGGUCCUUCGUCAAAGCGGAGGAAUUCUAAACAUUCCCAAUGGUCGAUCGAGUGGUUGACCAGUCUCUCGCUAUAUCAUGAUAGUCAGUUUUCGGCUUUCUCUACUGAGGUGCUCUCCCGGCUGAACCGGGGCACAAUCGCAGUAGUUCUCCUGGUGCCACGUUAGCCGAUGAUACGGAAUGUAAGGCAGCAAAACACAGGAGCCGGGCAAACCCAACAUUUGACCAAAGACAUGAUUCGGAGCUGAUGCAUAUAAGGCCUAACUCGAGACGCCGAACACUCCCUGAGGUGUUCGGUCUUUAUGAUAUUGGGCAGAAUAAAGCCCUAAGCCCCUAGUGUCCAAGUACAGGCGGGAACUUCUAACGCGGCCGAUGCCAAAAUGCCAGCCUCCUCCUCGGCUCUGGUAGGAAACCGGGGGAUGUGUAUCAACAAGAGACAGUGAGAAAGGUUUACGCAGGGUCUUAAUCUGAAAAGAAUCCUUGCAACAGGUCCCUACUGCACGUCUGCGCCUGUAUCUCCAUUGUGCUGUAUCCUGGACGGGUGUAGCAUGUGCUUCAUCUAUAAAAGAGAAGGACUUAGUUUCUAAGAAAUAUCGUGCAAAAAGUGUAUCAAAAUAAAGUAUAAUUUGGAAGAUGAAGAAAGUUAAGCUUUAUUGGCUUUCAUCAUUUAUGCGCGCGGCCCCCUAAAAAGGGUAUGCGGCUGGGAAGCCCCUUGCUAAGUUACCCUGGACUCGUCUAACCAUGUCCGAGGCCUAAAUGACCUGUUUUUAGGGGCUUUGACCUGCAAGGUCGAAAUAAUGUGUGGCUGUCGAGGCAGCCGCACAUUCUCCGUGGUCGAGAGACACCUGGAGUUUUAAGAAUAUGCCACGUGGACCGGGCAUUUUUAAGCGUAAGAGACGCGUAAUGUGGUAUUGCAUUAAAGCGGGCGAAAGCUGCACGCCCCAGUAGUGCUUAAGGGCUACUGCUAGAUGGGGUGAUGGAGGGUGAGCUUUUUCACGACGGAGGUUGUCGGAUGAACCAAACACGACCUCUAGUGGUACAGAGCCUGUAAAAUUGGCUAAAAAAGGCCUGGCAUCACUCCUUUGAAGGAAGUGCUUCUAUUGCGAAUUUUGGUGGGUUAUAUCCCCAGUAUGCGGACGGUGUCCUGGUAUAGCAGGGGCCGCGCUGCGUGUUAUCACGUGAAGUGAGUUCACUGUUUUGACUUCUAAUGGGAAAGUCUUUUGGUUUCCGGAGCGCUGCUUUUGGAUUUCGUCACUUUCACUUGGUGUGUCGAGCCCUUUGUGUUCGGCGUUAAGUCGGCCGGACUGCUUGAAGACCCAACAAUCUCUGUGGGUAUGGUUUGCAGGCUUCCCGGAGGUACCGUGUAUUUGACACAUUCUAUCCAGAAUCUUGUUUAGGUUGGAUAGCUCAUCACUGUUAUCCUUUAGGGGCAGUGUUUUGUUGUUCGGCCGAGAGCUUUUGAAUCCGGCGUUGACCGCCGUACUAUUUGGGCCAUUUUCCUUAUUCCGGCACUGAUCUUUUUUGCGUCGUGAUUUCCCAUUUCCAUCCCUGAUUUCGGAUGUACUCGGGUCGCUGGUGCUGCAUCUAGCCAACCAGCUGUCUUCCCCCACGCAAAAGCGGGUCAUGAGACUUGUUAGUGCGGCCGUUGUUCUUGGUUUUUACUGGCCGAGGUGUCUGGCGAGCCAUUCGUCUCGGACGUUGUGUUUAAAGGCUGCUAAGGCUUCAGCGUCCGGACAGUCGACUAUUUGGUUCUUUUUAGUGAGGAACCUAUUCCAGAAUUUGCGUGCUGAUUCUCCGAGCUGUUGAUUUAUGUGACUUAAAUCAUCUGCAUCCGAAGGCCGGACAUAAGCCCCUGAAAAUUCGCUCGAAACGCAUCCUCAAGCUCUUCCCAACUUCCGUUCGUAUUUUUUGGGAGGCUUUUAAGCCAAUGCCGGGCCGGCCCUUUGAGCUUGAGGGGUAGGUAUUUUAUGGCAUGGAGAUCGUCUCCUCUUGCCAUGUGUAUGUGUAGGAUAUAAUCCUCAAUCCAGACUCCGGGGUCUGUUGUUCCGUUGUAUGCCUCUAUGUUUAUGGGUUUAAAUCCCGCUGGAAAUUCAUGAUCCAGUACCUCGUCGGUGAAACAUAGUGGGUGUGCGGCGCCCCUGUAUUUGGGUGUGCCGUUGUUUUCAAAUGCUCGGCUGGUUGUGUUACUUCCUGGAGUCUUCUUUUUUGGCCCAUAGAUAGACCUGGCCGGGUUAUCCUUUUUCUGAGGAUCUUUAUGCUGAUCAUGUGCCGGCUUGUGUGUGGCGCCCUCUGUUGCUCUUGGCCUGUCAUCUGGUCGUCUAUCCGGUCAGGCGACCCCUUUCUUUUUUGACUGCGGGGGCUCGAAGGCCUCCUCGUCAAAUUCGGGCAGCAGCUUGCGCUUCGGGUAGCUCUUUGUCUGGUGACUAGUGCCAUAUUUAUCUGUGGUGUUGAGUACUUUGCUCCAUCUCAUUCUGAGUGCGUCUUCCGCUGUUUUGAGCUUCUGCUUUUGCUUCUUCAGACUUCUUGCAGUGGCGACGAGCCUUUUAUGAAGAUUCAUAUGCUCUGGUGAUGUGAGAUCAUUUUCGCCGGGGAUGAGUUGCUUGUCCGGUUCAUGUCCGGCUGGCUGCUUGUUGAUGUGUGCGUCGUCCACUGCUUCGCCCUGCUCUAGGGCCGGGUCCAUAUGGGUGCCAUUUUUGUCGAUGCCGGUCUUCGGGCGGCGCUUGCGUCGCCGCUUUGUUUGUUUGUUGGGGGAGUUGUCCUUCGCCACGUCCCUUUUUCCUCAUUGUCGCUUCCCUUUGGUGUGUCCACCAUGUAUACGUUGUGGGCUGGGGUGUCUUUCCUGCACCCGUUAGGCGCUGGUUCUUGGUCGUCUUCGAUAUCGUCGUCCAUACCGUCGAUGUCCUCGGAGUCGUAGUCUAGCAUGUCGGUUAAAUCAUCGACAGCGGCUACCAAGUGGGUGGUGGGUGGGCUUUGAAUUUCUUCGUCGUCCGCGUCCCAACCGUCCUGGCCGCAGUCCGGCCAGGGUUCUCCUGAUAACGAGAGAUAUUUUAGCGAACUCAAGAUGUCGCCAAAAGGUGAGUGUUGAAAGACGUCCGCUGCGGUGAACUCCAUGAUCGGCGCCCAAUCGGAUUCGAUCAGGGCGGGCACGGGAGGUUCGGAGUCCAGCGAGGAGUCCGACACCUUGGAGUCACGAUCUUUAUGAGGGACAAAGUCAGUGUUCGGCUCUAUCGCCGUAGAGGUUGCAGCCCCCGAGGCGGUGUCUAGGCAUCCAUCCUCGAUCUGUGCGGCCGGCUCCAAAUUGAGGAUCGGAGCGGGCUCGAGUGCGGCCUCUAGGGUAUUGUCCAGCGACAGAGCUAAAUCAUGCCCGACGUGACAGUGCGGCACGCUCGGCUGUGGCUCAAAUCCGUCGAAGAUCAAGUCCCCGCGGAUGUCAGCCGUGAAGUUCAAACUUCCAAAUCUGACCUGACGGCCAGGGGUGUAGCUUUCGAUCUGCUCUAGUUGGCCAAGCGAAUUGGCCCGCAGUGCAAAGCCGCUGAAUACGAAGAUCUGUCCGGGGAGGAAGGUCUCCCCGUGGACUGCGUCGUUGAUGAUGAUCGAAGAAGCCAUCACGCCUAUCGGUGACGACACAGAGGAACUCUCAAUGAAAGCACCAAUGUCGGUGUCAAAACCGGCAGAUCUCGGGUAGGGGGUCCCGAACUGUGCGUCUAGGCGGAUGGUAACAGGAGACGAGGGACACGAUGUUUUACCCAGGUUCGGGCCCUCUUGAUGGAGGUAAAACCCUACGUCCUGCUUGAUUAAUAUUGAUGAUGUGGGUUACAAGAGUAGAUCUACCACGAGAUCAAGGAGGCUAAACCCUAGAAGCUAGCCUAUGGUAUGAUUGUUGUUCGUUCUAUGGACUAGGGCCAUCCGGUUUAUAUAGACACCAGAGAGGGCUAGGGUUACACAGAGUCGGUUACAAAGGUAGGAGAUCUAAAUAUCUGUAUCGCCAAGCUUGCCUUCCAUGCCAAGGAAAGUCCCAUCCGGACAUGGGACGAAGUCUUCAAUCUUGUAUCUUCAUAGUCUUGGAGUCCGGCCGAUGAUGAUAGUUCGGCUAUCCGGACACCCCCUAGUCCGGAACUCCCUCAGGGGUCUACAUUGGUUUUUGGUGGCUACAGAGGCUUGCGGCGGCGGAACUCCCGAUCUAGGUUUAUUUCUGGGGGUUUCUGUAUUUAUAGGAAUUUUUGGCGUCGGUCUCACGUCAGGGGGUUUCCGAGUCAUCCACGAGAUAGGGGGGCGUGCCUAGGAGGGUAGGGCGCGCCCUCCACCCUCGUGGAUGGCUCAGGACUUUUCUGGCCCAACUCUUCUACUUCGGGGGCUUCUUUUGGUCCAUCAAAAAUCCACAAAAAUUGCCAGGUCAAUUGGACUCCAUUUGGUAUUCCUUUUCUGUAAAACUCAAAAACAAGGAAAAAACAGAAACUGGCACUAGGCUCUAGGUUAAUAGUUUAGUCCCAAAAAUCAUAUAAAAUAGCAUAUAAAACAUCCAAGAUGGAUAAUAUAGUAGCAUGGAACAAUCAAAAAUUAUAGAUAUGUUGGAGACGUAUCAAUGGACAUAUCUAAGUCCUCAGCUCAAGCCGGCAAUCGAGGGUACGUGUUGGCCUUUGUGACGUACGGAAUGACAUUUCUUGCACCUUGAGUGGACCACCUUCGCCCUCUAGGAUUUGAUCAAUGACGAUGUUACCCCUAUGUACCAUGCCAUGAUCUUGUCACCCGUCUCACUACUGUCAGCAUCUCUUUAGGCAACGGUGAGACCACCCUUGGGGAAGGUGCUUUUGUUGCAUCUCGGCGUUCAUUAUUGUAGCCUAGGUGAUGUUUUGUAGAUAUAGGGUUCCCUUCCGUUUCCAUUUUAACUUAUGUGGCAUUUGUGGUGAUCACCAUGUCUGGAUGAUGUCUUGUUGCCAUUGUAAUCUUGCUUGUUGCGUUCUAUUUGUUCAAUGAGCCCUUUCACUUUCUCGGUUUGCUCUUUGAACGUGUGUGGGCUGGGAAAAACGAUAAGUGCAAUGAUGUUCUUUGUCCAAGUGAUGAUUAACAGUGGGCCAGGUGGACCGAGAGGAGAAGGGGAUGAGUGGGGAGACAUGGGCAGUGGAGAGACGUGGUCCAACUGAUAGUGGGACGAGCGUAGCGUCCGGGCUUCCCCGGAACCCCUAGUUUAGGACAGUUUGUGGGAUUUCAAACACCCGUACCAGUUCAUGAACUUUUGAUGACUUGCGUUGAACAUUUCCGUGACCGACGUUGAGGAUGCCCUAAGCAUUGGUGGACUGGAAUGCCUAUCAUACAGUAAUGUUAAGCACAGGGUUAAUUUUGAUGGUACUUCUGUGUGGUUGGUGGCGUGGGGUGGGGGUGGGGGUGGGGGAAAGUGGUAAAGGUACAAGAGUACCUUUUGGUAUAGCUUCUCAAGGACCGUAGAUAAUAUUGAUGACAACAAUAAUUAUCUCCCAACCAAUCACAAAAGAAAAAAAGUUUCAAACUAAACUGAAGAAAAAUAUACCGGAGCAAGGGAUGCAUGACUGAACAUGCAAUGGAUGAAACUUCAGGGUUGAGGGUUAGAACUGACCGAAGAACAAUUCUGCCUACUUUCAAACUAGAGCAUCAUAUUUGCUUCUCUCUGGUCCUUCUUUCACCCCCUUCCCUCUCCCUGCUCCCUCCCGGGUCGCUUGCGCGAGCGGCCCCGGAGGCCCCAAAACCUAACCAAAAAAGCCCCCAAAUCGGGGUCUCCCCUGGCCGCUGCCACCAUCAACAGUGUCGGCCGCGCCAGGCCAUCGGAGGCGGCAGGUGGGUGGGCGCCCCCCGUCAGGCUCCCUUCACAAAAAGGUGAGACGACAAGCGGGCGGCACAGGGUGGCGUGGAGUUGCGGUGGUGCUGGUCUAGAUGCGCGGGGGAGGAGUUGUGGUGCACGAGGAGGCCCCGCCAGAGCUAUGGAGGUCCUGGAGCAGGCCGGCGCUGCACAACAUAGGCGCCUAGAGGAGAUCUGGUGGCGGCGGCGCGGGCUGAUCUGGGCCAGAUCUAGGCCCGAUCUAGGCUCUGCGGGCCACUCACGUGGAAGUGCCAUGGCUGGCCGCUUGAAACUGGAGUGCUUGCGUCGACAGCUACGGGCGAGGUUGGAGGACCCUCUGCUGUGCGGGAGGUGGAUGGUGGGCCAAGGCAGUGGUCUCGUGGCGUGCAGGAGGUGGAAGACGGUGUGCUCUCGGCCAUGCGGGUGUUGGUGGACCAUGACUUCAUGGCUACAUCUACGAGGUGUUGGGGCGGCGGUGGUGUGAGCCAAUUUGGACAAGGUUGUGCGAAUCGUGUGGCAGGGAUGGAGUUGUGCGACUAUACGAACAAAAGUCCUGCCUGUCUCCAGUCGAUGCAGGUGACGACGGUGCUUGUGGGUGUCGUUUUCCUCCUUGGAGGCGUCACCGAGUGUGGCGGCAUGUCCCUCGCUAUCACUUGGGGUUGGCAGUUGUCUCGAGGCGAAAGCCUUGGUUCGGAGUUGGAUCGGCGCGAUGGCGGCAUCUUCGACGUCGUUCCUCCGUUGGGGGCAUCAUGUUAGGAGACACUACCUGAGGUGCUAUGUGGCACACUUUCAGUGCUCGUCAUUGUCCAAGGAUGAGCUCAAGGAGCACUGUGUACGUCGUCGCCGGUGAGUCCAAGACGGUGCUUUCCUUGGACCGACCAAGUUCCGCCAUCUACUUGCCACCUCCUUUUAGGCAUCAAGGGUGGAUGGUGCGUUGACAAGGGACAUUCAAUUGGAGUUAGAGUUGUCUUCGGAGGUGAGCGGCGUCGGUCGAGACGCGGUGCUGUUGCUUAGCUUUGGAUAGGCACUUCGGUUUUGUAUUUGUGCUGUCUAUAGUGGUUGUCUUCGAACUAGCUUGGGUGUGGAGUUGUGCUACACUUGUUGUUCGCAGCAAACUGUAGCUCUUUUGUAUUUAAAAUUCUAUCUUUUAUAAAAAUAUAGUAUGCCUAGGCGUACUCUAAAAAAAUUGCUCCUCAGGAGUCGUGGUGUUAUGUUGCUUCGAUAGAUUGACUAGAUGGAGAAACUAUAUUGACCAUGACUCUCAUAUGAAACACACGCUUUAAUUUUUGAGGAACCACGGUGGGAAGGAUCCUCACUCUGAAAAUCACGCGCUUUGUGAACGUGUAUAUCGGUUACAAAAGCCACAAAGGUGGUCAAAUUUGAGUGGACCUGAUUACAUCUGCGCCGGCUUUCCAAAAGAGAGAGCAAUGGCAUCCGUUCUUUGCUAGCCGACCAAAAUCAACAGUUUUCAUAGCCCUCAAACAAAAACUCAACAGCUUUCGUGUGCGUCCAACUCUAAUCAUGGAUCCUCCGCCCGCAUCGUCAAGCGCAAAAUAUUGUUAAGAUAACCUCCUUCCCUCCCGGGAUGUAAGAGUUUUUUGACACUUGAGACGGAGGAGUAGCUUCUUCCUUUUUUUGCUUGUAGGAAUCAGAAUGUCGGCAGUGAGCAUGCAGGGUCUCAUAUUGGAAGAACCUUUUUUUGGAAGUCAUAUAUGAAGAACCUCGGGGCAUCUUCAACGUGACCCAUAAAUUUUCUCCCCCAUCUGUCCGUAGACAGGGAGGCAGUCCCAGUCGUGGUAGGCCGUCAUAUAUACAACACUGUCCGCAUACAUUUAAACAACUUUAUGAACCCACCGCACGAAAUUAGUGUAAACACGGUGGAUUUCAUAUAAAUCGGACGCCAUUCAUGCAAACUUGGCGGAUUUUCAAUACAUUUCAAACACUUAGAAAAAGACCUAUGGCAGUCGCCGGCAUCCAAGCGCUUGUUGUUCCCUUCCUGGGACUGUCUCCUCCAUCCGCCGUCUCCAUGUGCACCGGCGAUAAGACCGAUGGAGUGAAGUUGCGGUCUCCGGGAGGAAGAAUAGAACACGGGCGACAGACCAGCCCACAUGGGACGCAAGGCACUGCGGGCUCCCAUGCCCUACCAAUCUCGGAGGAGUCUGCGCUUUGUCCGUCGCUGGUGGUCGUGAGGUCAACGAUGGAAAUGGUGAUGCCCGCGCUGUCGUCGUCCCACCGGGCCGCUCCAUAGUUCGUCGGCAGCGCGUAGAAGGUGCAGCUGGCAUUGUUCACCUUCGCAAUCGCCUGCAGCUGCACCUCCGCAGCGGCCACUUCCUGGCAAGCAGCAUCUUGAGCACAGACGAUCUCGUAGAUCGCACGCUGCUCCAUGAUGAAGUUGGGAUUUGCUGCGGCCAUGGCCGCCACGGCCUCCUCGCUCGCCGUUGAUUUGGCCCUCCGCCAACCCUUGUUGCUCCAGGAGAAGCAAGUUGUGUCGUUGUUCCUCCUGUGCCUGCUGGAACACCGACAUAGGCGCCGACGCAGGCUGCACCUCCGUCAUGGCGUCGUUGUAGUGUGCCUGCGCCGCUCCAUGGUGAAACCGGCGUGAAUAGGUGCGGGCUCGGGUGCGUUGUCAUAUGGGCUCAUCGCCAUGGUGGGGUCGCCCUCAUCGUCAGAGCCUCGGGCGAGCUGGCCGGCAAGCCUGCCUUGAUCCGCCUGGCACGGCGGCACUGCCAGGUGGCCGCAAAGGCGGCCUCUUCAUGCUUCAUCUCUGUGGAAAGGCUCUCCCACAGAGCUUCACCACCUACAGUCAUGGCGGAUGCGAUGCAAGGAAAGAGGAUGUGGAGCGUCUUGUGUUGUGGCAUGGAGUUUGCCGGGUGUGGCCGCCUUUAAAAGGAUUUCAGUGAGGCCGAGCGUCCGGGGUGCACCAAUGCGAGGCGCCGGCUCGGCCAACGAACCUGCUUAAUGGUGGCUUAUGGACGGAUGGGGCGUUGAAGGGAUGUCGUAGAUAUCCAACCCGUCCAGUAACGCGUUUUCGACAUUGAACAUGCGAGAACACCAGGGACGCAUCGUGGGCGGCGUCCUUGGCCGGCGCGCUGCUUCAAUGGCGUAGCCAAUGAGAGGUCGCGUUCGCUCUUGGCCGACUUCAAUGUGAAGCGGCCGCUCUACGGUGACAUGAGGGAACACGCGCAGGCGAAGGAGGAUGAUUUUGGGUGGGCCAAAGUGGUCAGACGCGGGCGUGGCUGUUGUCCAUACGCUCACGAAGCCCCCACAUUUGUCUCCGAUUUACGGGAGAAAGUGCAUCCGAACCGUCCCGCGGACCGAUGUAGGAGCAUGUUGGAUGGCACAACACACCUGAACCACGUGGUUCGGACGGUUUGAGUGUCAGCAUUGAAGAUGCCCUAACUAGGAUUAUUGACUUAUUCACUCUAUAUCCGUACCGAAUUCUCAACCAAACAGCACAACGGGUAUAGUUUCUAGUUCAUUUAUUUAUUAAGGUGCACCCCUUUUUUUUGACGGGAAGGUGCACCCCUUUACGUGCCUAGAGGUAAGAGAAACUUUUAGUCCUGGCCGUCCGGCAGACAAGGGUAGCAUGGUACUUCGUAAAAUUUUAUUUCGCUGCUGCAUUNNNNNNNNNNNNNNNNNNNNNNNNNNNNNNNNNNNNNNNNNNNNNNNNNNNNNNNNNNNNNNNNNNNNNNNNNNNNNNNNNNNNNNNNNNNNNNNNNNNNNNNNNNNNNNNNNNNNNNNNNNNNNNNNNNNNNNNNNNNNNNNNNNNNNNNNNNNNNNNNNNNNNNNNNNNNNNNNNNNNNNNNNNNNNNNNNNNNNNNNNNNNNNNNNNNNNNNNNNNNNNNNNNNNNNNNNNNNNNNNNNNNNNNNNNNNNNNNNNNNNNNNNNNNNNNNNNNNNNNNNNNNNNNNNNNNNNNNNNNNNNNNNNNNNNNNNNNNNNNNNNNNNNNNNNNNNNNNNNNNNNNNNNNNNNNNNNNNNNNNNNNNNNNNNNNNNNNNNNNNNNNNNNNNGUUUACAGAUAAUCAAGAAAGUAAUAUGAUAUCACCAAUUAGAUUAUAAGAAAAUUGACAGUCUAUACCGAUUUGGAGCAUUGUAAAAUUUCACAUCGUUCUCAGACAGAUUUUGUGAGUGCACAUGUCUAUCGUGUACCGUAUAAUGGACAAGCGCCCACACACUUCAGUUGCAUUAUCUUUUAGAGAGAAGGCCACUUGACUCGAUUGAUUAGCAAGCCAAACAUCAUUUGCAUUUUAAUUUCAGCAACCUGAAACUAGCUAGCAUGGUCCCUAGUAUCAGCAUCAAAGGACCACUUAGCUAGUUGCACUAUUAAUAGAAGGAUACUGAGAAUCAAAUGCUUAGUUUGUACUUUGUACUUAUAAAAUUAUAUAUGGUGUGCUAAAUCGGAAAUACCUGAUGGAGCUGGAGCUCCUUGGAGCCCUUUAUUUGAAAAAAAAACAAAUUUUGAUAUAUUUUUUUAGUUCUGAAAAGUUCUGAAUAAAAUACACAUAUACAUAUGGAUGUAUACUACUUGUCUGUGAAGCUUCAUGAUGAAAUACUUUUUAUGCAAGCUACACAAAAAUGCAAAAUGUGCAUAUUUACAGCACAUGUACUAUUCACUAUGAAAUCACAUGAUUUUUUUUGUAGAGGCCACACAAAAAUUAUUUUGUCAUGAAAUUUCACACACGUUCAAUAAACAUCUAUAAGUACUUGUGUAUUUUUUUCUUCAUAUUUUUUUUUAGUUUAGACAGUUGAUUUUGGAAUGUUUGAAAAUCAAGGGCUCCACUGAGAGCAAAAAAAAAUCCUAUCAUGCUAAAUUUCUUGUAUAAUCUACUGAAACAAUAUAUAUAGUUCUAGUUGUCAGAACGACUUUGUGUUUAAUAGAAUAAAAGUUCAAAAAACAUUGCAGGUAAUAUACAGGGCGUCUGAAUGGAUCCGUACAUGGUCAUUACUACACCAUGGCCCAUGCGGAAGUGAGGGGCUUAUGGCUUUUGGUAGAAACCGAUGGGAGACAGUACGUAGCACGGGAUAUACACAAUUAGCUUGGAUGACGGUCCAAUAAUAUGAUAUGUAUAAAAGCAUUUUUCUUUAUUUGUGCCAGUUGUAGCAUUUUGUCAUGUAUUUUUCUUUUCUUUAUUUGUACUGGAGCUGCUCGUGAUACUUUGAUACUUGGUUCAUUUUAAUAAAUGAUUGUGUAUCUUUUGAUACAGAGACCGGGAAUAAUCCUUCUUUUCGAGAAAAAUAAUAUAGUUAUAGGUCAGAUUUCUCUUUGCUACAGGUUAUCUAGCAAUCUAUACACUUGCUCGUUUGUAGUUUAUUCUUCAGCGAUCUGAACACCGACAAUUGUUUCUAGCCAUGUGUACGCAGACGGAAUAGAAGGACAAGGAUGUCUUUGCCCAACAUGGUUGAAGCUUUUUCUGAGACCCCCCUCCCCCUCGCCUUAGUUAUUGUAGUCUCGAACAACCUUAUUUUGUCAGCGUUAUUUAGAAUGUGUGUUGUUGUGUGUGUAUCUUGGCCACGUAGAGAAUGGAUGUGAACUUGUUUUGAUUGUAUUCCAUUUAUGCAACAUUUGGAGUCAAAAAACGCACUUCUUCAAAAACUGUGUGGGUCAUAAUUAAAACACUAACUACUCAAGCGAAAAACCCUACAAACUUGAUCUAAAAUAGCUUAUUAUAUCUUAUUAUAAUCUACCUCAAUACUAUCGCAGUCUAAGACAUCUCGACCUUAUAUAAGCAAGCUAAAACACUUCACUGCUAGUUUUCACAAUUUGUAAAACAAAGUAUGUUGUAAUAGUAAAACAUGGUUCUAAGAGUCAAUUCGAUUGGAAAGUUAAACUUCAUGAGUUUCUAUUUUAUGGAUUUGAUGACCUAAGGCAUUGGUUGCAUCAUUUCUAGGAACUAAUCUUUUGAGGACUAUGGUACUCGCACAAACUAGUACAUCUCUACUCCUAUAAAAGACUCAGUUGGUGAUGAUGGUGUGUCUGCCAUCCAUCGUUUCUGACCAUUAGAUCUGCAUCUAACGACUGUGAGGUAAGUUGUGGCCUUUUUCAAACAACAGCCCACUUCUUCGCUCCAAUUUGCAGAAAACCCCUUAGUAUUUUGAAACCAACCACAUCCCUCCCUCACCUCAUCAAAACAGCCCAAGGAAUAUAUAUUUUGAGUGAAACAUAAUAUAUUUUUAGUGAUAUAUGUAUAUCAAAACUAGAGUGCUUUCUUUUCAAUUUACGAAUAAGUAUUAUUCUACUUUGGAUCCGUUGCAACGCACGGGCACAUUGCUAGUUAUUGGAUUAUACUUAUAUGAAAUGAGGUAAGGUGACUAACACUAUUUGACUGUAUGUGCAAUUGCAUACUUCUCUAAAGUUACACCACCUCUGUAAGAUGAAUAUUCUAUUAGUGCAUUCAUUACUAAAAGUACAAUAAUGUUAGUACGUUCGAUUAAUAACUAUUUGCUUACAUUUCAGUUCAUUUGUCUUGGUUUAUUGGCUCCCUUUGUAAUUUGUGCCAAAUUUUCACCAAAUAUUUAACUAACAAAAUGUUAAUGCAUGUCAGCAAAAAUUAUAUCAUUUGAUUCGUAUUUGAACAUGAUUUACAAUGAUAUAAAUUUUGGUAACAUGCAUGAAUAUUUUGUUAGUUAAAUAUUCGGUCAAAAUUUGGCACAUACUACAAAGGGGGCCAAUAAACCAGGACGGAGGUAGUAAUACGAGAAGGUUGUUAAAUUAAUUCAGUUUUUGUACAAUAUGUUUAUCUAUCUUUAUGUCUAAACACUACAAGGAAAAUAGAUAUAGCAUAUAAACUUUAGAAAAAGUCCAUUUUACUACCCUGAAUAAAGUGGGUGGUUCACUUUACCCCCUGAUCUAUUUUUCCGCUUCUUUUACCCCCAAACAAAUCCAAACCGGACAAAACACCCCCUGGCUGGUUUUUCUCCACCCGCUGCUGAUGUGGCACUAGUCAACGGCGGUUUUGACCUGGGUGGGGCCCCCUUGUCAGUGUUCUCUCUUUCUCUCUCUCUCUCUCNNNNNNNNNNNNNNNNNNNNNNNNNNNNNNNNNNNNNNNNNNNNNNNNNNNNNNNNNNNNNNNNNNNNNNNNNNNNNNNNNNNNNNNNNNNNNNNNNNNNNNNNNNNNNNNNNNNNNNNNNNNNNNNNNNNNNNNNNNNNNNNNNNNNNNNNNNNNNNNNNNNNNNNNNNNNNNNNNNNNNNNNNNNNNNNNNNNNNNNNNNNNNNNNNNNNNNNNNNNNNNNNNNNNNNNNNNNNNNNNNNNNNNNNNNNNNNNNNNNNNNNNNNNNNNNNNNNNNNNNNNNNNNNNNNNNNNNNNNNNNNNNNNNNNNNNNNNNNNNNNNNNNNNNNNNNNNNNNNNNNNNNNNNNNNNNNNNNNNNNNNNNNNNNNNNNNNNNNNNNNNNNNNNNNNNNNNNNNNNNNNNNNNUGCUGCCGCGCCGUUGCGCCCCGUCUGCGCGCUCGCCUAGCCCGCGACGUCGCUGACCGCAGCCGCCUGCCCACAUCGGUCGGUGCCCAGCCGCCCCUUCCCCUCCCACGCCGACGCCGGGCCGUGCCCGAACCCCCGCGGCUGCCCACUCCUCGCCGCGCCGCUCAGAUCGCCCGCCGUCCGUCCUGCCCCGCAGCCCCUCGCCGCCCCUACCGCAUCCCCGUGGCCGCUGCGCUCGGCCGUGCCUCCACGCGCGCUCGUCUGCGUGCUUGCCCGCGCAUGGCCGCGCCGCGCCCGGCCACUUCCCUGUCGCCAUAGGCGUGGCGACGCCUACAGCCUCCGCUCGCUUUAGGCGCUCUGCCUGUCCCUUCGGUUGGUGUGAGAGAGAGAGAGAGAGAGAGAGAGAGAGAGAGAGAAACCUGACAAGGGGGCCCCACCCAGGUCAAAACCGCCAUUGACUAGUGCCACAUCAGCAGCUGGUGGAGAAAAACCAGCCGGGGGGGGGGUGUUUUGUCCGGUUUGGGUUUGUUUGGGGGGUAAAAGAAGCGGAAAAAUAGAUUAGGGGGUAAAGUGAACCACCCACUUUAUUCAGGGUAGUAAAAUGGACUUUUUUCUAAACUUUAUUAUCUAUUCCUGUAAGACAUCUCAUUUGGAAAAUUCGAUGAACUAAGGGUCUGAAGAGUCCUCCGAGUUGAAAGGUAUCAUUUGGUUCGCACUUCUCUGGCGGCGCUGGAAACCUUUUUUUUCUAGAAAGCCAAUCAUUAAUUUUAUGUGGCAUAUGUGUGAUUGGACAGCUUGCAUACGCCAAGGCAGUCAUGUCUUCCUGCCUAUAUAAAGCACCCCAUUACCAACCUUACAACUCAGGCUAAGAGUUUCAACCAACUUAGAGAGCUCUCCUCUCCAGACCUCUCCCUUCUCUCCACCAGGAGUUUAGGGUUAGAG
rnacentral:lncRNA from 1 species